rnacentral:lncRNA from 1 species
CCCCGAAGGAAAUAAAAGAAACAUCUAGACAUCAUUUCAUCUUCUUCCAAGCUCUCGCCGCCAUAGCCAAAGAAUUAGGAAAAAAAGAUCGGAGAGUUAUCUAGAUCUAUUGAGAGAGUUGUCUAGAUCUAUUGAGAUGCCGAAAAUAGAUUUGAGUUCCUAUCGACUACACAUCAACCUUAUAUAAUCAAAUUAUGGGAUUAACAUUGUCAGCAACCUCAAAGCUUUCACACAGAUGUUAUGGCUUAAUUGUACCCGUCUCGAAAUAUCUUCACUAUUGAAUCAUAAGGUCCAUGCAUGCCUCAGCAAAAUAGGUAACUCUUAAUCAUUUUCCAUCAGAAAUAUGCUCAAAUACACACUGUUGCGUUUUCUUUUUGACCACCUCUUCCACUGUUUUUCUAUUUUAGAUUGAGUCUCAAUGAGACUAAUACCACACAUCGAGGAAGGAAAAGUAGUUGAGAGGACCAAAAGACCACAUCCCUACUGAAAUUUCUUUUAAAAAUAAGAAAUUUUAACCCUUUGUGAUUUAGUUCGCUGCUCUUUCUCUAGCUGGUUUAAGUAUGAUAUGUUAGAUUAAUGGAGAAAUACACCACAUAUUUACAUAAACCAAGAACACCUAUAAAAUAACAAAAUAUGCAUGAGAAAAGAUGCGUAUCUUUGUCCGUCAUUAUAACAUAUAAUUGAAGAUGAUUUGUCUGUCCGUCACUACAUCGUGUAACUAAAAACGAAUAAGGCUAAGUCUUCCUCUUUUUUACUUAUGACGGUUGGCAGCUUAUGAAAUACGUCUUAUAUUGAAGUCAGAAGAGGACAUUUAGCCUUAUAUUUAUAGGCUUAAAAGUCUUAAACUAGUGCAUCCCAUUAUGACCAGCCCACACUAAUAACAUGAAAUUGAUACAGGCUCAUAUGGAAUCUUCAUGAAUACACGGUGUGUGUCUUGUCUAUCAAUUUAUAACAUCAGUUCAUUUUAUUUCUAACGUAAUAAAAAGUUAAUGUUAAAUCAACAUAAAAUAAAUAAUUCUAACAUUCUCCCACUUGGAGAACGUUAACUUUUAAAGAAAAAUUUUGAAAAAUUUAUUUUUAUGAAAAUGACUCUCGAGCUGAAUAAACAGUAACCAUAAACACUUAGUGGUGGAACGCCAUCUCCAACAUAGUUCAGUCAAGCAAAACAUCACUGUUGAACUGUAGCAGUACCUGCAUCAACCAACGACACAAGACCAGUCCACAAUUACAAACGUUGAAGUUUUGUAGACAUAAAUCAAAUGAUGUGAUAGUGUAGUAAGAAAUAGCCAACAUGGACUCCAAAUCGAUGCUAUUUCAUUGUUAGUCCUUCAAACGAUUUUUCAUAUCAAUAUGUAUGCUUAAAAUCAACAUGUGUAUCAUAGAAAAAUUGUCACUGCAAUUUUUUGUUACAACAUGUGUGAGCACUAAAAUAUGUGCUCCACCAGAAAAUCUUGAUUUUUAACGUUCAACAUGUGUAACAUAUUACAUGGUGUAACAAUCAAAAAAAUUCACAAGGUAGAAUGAUAUACCAUAUAUAUCUCUAAAAGAAAGAUCCAAUAAAAUAAUAAUAUGAUCUUAUUAAUAUGAGACAUAACCAACACGUAAGGCAAAAAAUCUUAAUAUAAUAAAAUAAUAUUAAAAUGUGAAUGAUGAACUUACUCUCAUUGAUCUUGAGAUAGAUGCAAUGAUCAAUCUUGUUCUCCACAAAUUUUAUAGUUGUGAUAAUUUCUGCAAAUUUCAAGUACCAUUGUCAAGAAGCUUGCUUCAAGUCUUAGAUUUCUUCAACUUACACACAAGAUGUUCACUGCCUUUACUAACAGAACCUUGAAAUUGUUGCAUGUAAACCUCUUCAUUAAUAUUGCCAUUAAAAAAAAAGAUGUCUUUAUAUUCAUAUGAUGUAGCUCAAGAUCAAAGGAUCUCAUUCGUUGCCCAGUCUCAGCUUAUCUACCAUAGUACUCACCCUCGUGAUUCGACGUCACUAUCUUAAUGACCUUUUCUAGCUGUUUUUCUACUUCAGUUUUAAAUACUUUGAACAUUCAAGAGAAUUUGUGGGAAUGAUUUCUAACAAAUCAAAACUACGAGUAGCGUUCUUUUUUUUCAAUCAACUUUUUUCUAAUGGAAUCAAUACAUGUUUCUAUGUCACCAAAAUCAAGAGAAGGUAAAAUAUUAUACUUAACCAAUCUAUCAAUUCUAUCUUUAGAGAUAUGACCUAAAUGCUCAUGCCAUAACAUGCUCGAUUUCAUUUAAAAUUGGUUGUUUAGACUCAACAAUUUUAGAAGUAAAAGAGUUGUAUUCAAAAUCAGAAGUCAAGGAAAUUUUAAAUAAACCAUCAGAUAGGAUUUCAUGACCAACAAAUCGAAAGUUCAAAAGAAAAUUAACUUUAAGAGAAUUAAAAUCAUAAUCAAAUUUGUCUAAAACUGAAAUAUAAAUUAAAUUUUGUCUAAAAGAUGGUACAUAAAGAUUGUUUUUAAGAACAAGCUUAUAACCAGUUUGUAAGUUUAAAACUACAAUUUCUAUGAACUCUACUUCAACUUAGACAUCCGCGGCGAGUCUAAUUCUUGACUCUGUUUCCUUUGGGUUCCUUUUAUUUUUGGACCUCUGGAAGGAAAUGUCAAUAUGAGUAGUAGCUUCACUAUCAAACCAUAAAAAAUUAAUGGGGGCAUCUACAUUAGAUCUUUCAAACUUUCUAGGUUCAUAGCAAGAGAUUGCUUUUGAAUCAUGAGAAGCUAACAUAGCAACCUCAUCCUUCUCCCUUUUAAAUUUUUCCCCUUUCAAAAAACACAUUUGAAGAUGAGAUCCUUGAUUGAUCAAGAUUCAUCCCGAGUAUUAUAAGCAGUUUUCAUUUGGCUAAACUCAGCAGGCAAAGAGUUAAGAGCAUAGUGAACAAUGUAACUAUCAGGAAGAAUUAUUUUAAAGGUUUUUAGUUUGGACUGAAUAUGGACCAUCUUAUGUAUGUAAUCUCUAACACCCCUAGUAAAGUCAUACUUCAUCCUUGCAAGUUUAUUCAUUAGAUCUCCACUCUUAGCCUUAUUGGAUACAAGAUACCUUUCUUCCACUUGGGCAAGAAACUUUUUUGCAUUGAUAGCCACUUUUGAGGUGCUCAACAAUCAACCUCCUAAAGGCAAGGAUGCAUGGCCUAUUAGAUCUCUCCCACUUAGCAUUAAAUUCUUUUUCAGCAGUUGUACUAGAAUCAACGAGAGCUGGAGGCUCAUCCUCAUGCAAGGCUUGAACUAUGUCAGCCAUGCCAAAGUAAAUUCAAGAUCUUAUUUCCAUCGCUUAAAGUUAGAGUCCGAUAGAACCACAACUUCAACAUUGUUAUUAUUUAAAUAAAUGGUAACUUUUCACAAUAUAACAUGAAUGAAUUUAUCAAAAUAGCAAGGCAUAAGAAUAAUAAUCUUAUCACAACGAUAAGUCCCGCAGCAUUAACAAGUAGCCCCGCUUUGGGCAAAGAAAGAAAAUAUUUUCAAUAUUAGAAACCUAUCUCCUUUGGGCAGAUAAAUUUACUAAGUAAAAAUAUUUUCACAUAAUUGGGUUCAUCACAAUACUAAUUUAAAACACACAAUAAAUCUCCCUUGGGCAGAUCAUUGUAUGUUCUAACUUAGUGAUAUCUCUCAAAAUAGAUUAAACAAUUCUCAUAAAGUAAAGUAAAUAGGUCACUUUGGUGUACUUUAUUUACCCUAAUUUAUAAAACAAAUUCAAUCUCAGGGAUUCAAUAUGCCAUUGCUUAAUUUGUUCUGUGACACAAUAAGUAACCACACUAUUAAAAUAUUAUAAAUUUGAUUUAGUUGCAAUUCAAAUGAAAUCAAAUUCAAAUACAAUAAAUAAAUAAUAAUUCGACAUUUUUAUAAACAAUAGCUUAAAAUUUUUAAAUUUCAUAAAAUAAUUAACUUUUUAUAUUAUUUAAUCUAAGCAUAUGAAACUAAAUAAAUGAAUGAAUUUUUAAUAACAUAGUCGCCAGAACACAUCUUAAGAAAUCUUUAGUUCAGCCAACUUUACUCCAGCCAAUAUCAAAAAAUAAAUAAAAUUAACAUUCUGUAAACAAGAAAUACAACGGAAAAAACACUUGGAUACAACACAUCUUUCAUAAAAUCUUUUUCAAGUUCAUUUUUUGGACACAAGUCUAAGAUUAUCUUAUCACCUUUCACCACAAGGCUUACAAUUUUUCAUUUGAAAUCUUUUCAAAAUACGAUCAAUAUAGGCCUUUUGUGAAAGCCCCAAUAACUUACGAGAUUUAUAUGAUGCCUUUUCUAGAUCUUUCAUAUCAAACACUUUGUUCAAUGAAUGCUUAGUUUUAUGCAACAGUUCCAAAUUUAAGUCAUUUAUUUCAUACUCAGACUUGCAAGACCACCUCAUAUCCAUAGCCUUUUUAAUUCAAAAGCAUGUUAAUGACCACCCAAAAUAUUUAAACAUUAGUUCUUGUUUCAAAAUAAGAAAACUUAUGCAAACUACCCCCUUCCCUUUUCAAUACUUUAUCAUAUGGUGGUCAUUUUUCAUUAAUCAUAUGCAAAUUCUUUAUUAGAAAACAUGAGCAUUUGUAAAUCAAGAAAAAACCCCUCUUAUUCUUUCAUAAAAUAAUAAGAAUCCAUAACAUUGUUAAGACAAUGAGUUUCAUAACAAGAGAGAUAAUCACGCAAAUCAUGCUCUUAUGUAACUUUUCAAACUAAUAAUACAUGUACACAUGAAAACAAUUCAAGUUUAGGAAAAACAACCUCAUAGUUUAUAUAAGAUUGCAUUAUAAAACGGGGCUUACAAUACAUGCUCUUCAACAAUUUCAAAACCCAUCUCAUUUACAAAAUUAAAUACCGUAAAUGCUUGUUUAAUCGAUAAAUUUAUGCCCACGAAAUUUAGGAUAGUCCCACAUACAAAAAAUUUUGCAUUUUAAGAUUUAACUAUUCUAGUUCCCCUUGUAGUACAAUAGAACAUGUAUCCUUUAGAAUGAGCUGGAUAACCAAUGAAAAAAAUGUGAGGUUCUAGAUUCAGUUUUUUUUCUAAAAGGUUAUACAUUUUUCCUCCGCAGGAUAUUCCUAAACUCAAAAAUGAUUUAAACUGAGUUUUCUAUUCAUCCACAACUCAAAAGGGGUUUUAGGGACUGACUUGGAAAGAACACAAUUAAGAAUGUACAUAAAUGUUUUGAUAACUUCACCAUAAGUUAGAUCUAUUCAUCAUACUUCUCAUCAUGUCUCUUAAAGUACGGUUUCACCUUUCAAGAUAGUGAAAAUUUUUGAAACAAUUUUAAUUUGUAAAUACUACCAAUAUACUUUAAAACAUAUUUAUUUACUUUUGACAAGGUAUAAAGCAGCGGAAAACUUUGUCAAUGAAGACAAUCAAUCUUUUGUAAUUACAGCUCCUGACAAUUUUCUUUUAAACUAACAACACUCCGUUGAUUAAUUUUCACAUCGAACGGCAACAACUGAUCCAUUACCCAUAACAAUAACUCCUAGGACCUGAAAACACACCACAAUUUUUAAAAAUCAGAUUCAAUUGAUUUGGUCCAUCUACUUUUCCAAAUUCAAUUAAUUUGGCCAUCGGCUGAAUCUUAAUCAUAUGUACACCUUUUUUAAUAUGGAGUAAAGUAGUGUGUAGCAAUCGGAACAAAGUUAGCAGCCAAAAGAAAAAGGAAAAUCGUUUCAGAUUUAAGUUUAAGAUGAAGUGCAUCACGAUCAUUAUUUUCAAUUAUUUUUCUCAUGAACUGAGUAAUAGAGUUCAAGAUCUAUGUUAAAAGCUCUAAUACCAAAUGCUAAAUUAACGGAUAAACACACCACAGAUUCACAUAAACCAAGAACACCUAUAAAGUAACGGAAUAUGUGAGAGAAAAGGUACGUACCUUUGUCCUCCAUUAUAUCAUGUAAUCGAAGACGAUUUGUCCGUCAUUACAACACAUAACCUAAGACGAAUAAGACCGAGUCUUCCUUUGCUUUGCUUAUGACGGCUGACAGCUUAUGAGAAUACAUCUUAUGUUAAAGUCAGGAGAGGGGACCGACCUUUAUAUUUAUAGGCUUAAAAGCCUUAACCUAGUGCACCCCCAUUAUGGGUUCACAAGUCUACUACAGGCCUACACUAAUGUCAGCCCACACCAAUAACAUGAAAUGGAUACAGGCCCAUAUGAAAUCUGCAUGAAUACAUAGCCUGUGUUUUGUCCACCAACUAAUAACACCAGGCCGUUUUACUUUUAACGUAAUAAAAAGUUAAUGAUAAGUCCACAUAAAAUAAAUAAUUCUAACAUGAUAUGUAGGGAUUGUUUGAUAGAGUGUAUUGAAAAAUUAAUGCAUGCAUUAUUUUAAUGUGUAUUAUUAAUAGUUUGUUUGAUAUAAUUUUGCACCCUAUGUAUAACUAAUGCAUUAGUUAUACACUCCAUUGUGUAUUAAUGUGUGUAUUACUAAUACCUCAAAAUUCAUGGUAUUGGCAAUGCAGUGAAUUCAAUACAUGCAAUAACAUGAUUAAAGACACUAUUAUCUCUCAAAAAAAUUCACAUCCUUUCCAACAUAUAUGUGGAGGAUAUUUUUGUAAAUUUUUUUUUUAAGAAAUUAUUUAAUUCAUAUUGUUUUUAAUACAUCAAACCAAACACUGCAUUAAAAAAAUACAAGCAUAGCUAACACAAGUAUUACUAAUACAAGCAUUAUUAACACGCUAUAUUUUGCAUUCUUCUUAUACACUCUACCAAACUACCCCUUAGUAUAUAUUAUUGCUCUAGAAGAAUGAGCAUUUGUGCUUUCUUUGAUAAUGGUUGAAAAUCAGUAAAAUUAGUUGUACUCGCAAAAUUGAACACCCAAUUAGUUAAAAGUUUUUGCAACUUAUAGCAAUAUGAUAGUCUCACAACUAUAUAAAUUAUAUUUUGUCUUGUAAAUUCAACUUAUCUCUAAGCGAAUCUAUUGAACAUGAUUAACGCGAGUUCAAGCAGCUCAUCUUUUACCAAAUAUUUAUCCUAAUCCACUUUUCCAAAAAAAUACAACAUAAAUUUAUGCCCAAGUCUAUUUCUAGUAAUAGCUAAUCAGGACCAAGUCUCAUGGAUAAAUCACAGAGGAAAUUUUUGAAGAUUGAAGUAUACAAGAAAUAAAGAGAAUAUAAAUAAUAGUGAAUCUCUGUUGUCAUCUUUUAUCUACUUGUGUUCAUGCUUUUUACAAUCAGAAUUUAUUUACAAAAGGAUCUUAUAAAAUGAUAAAGAAAUAGACCUUGGGCCUAACUUAACCUUAAAAGUUAGCUCAUGAGAGGAGGAUUGCCCAAGACCAUAUAAGGAGAUCAAGGACCCUUUAACCCACCGAUGUGGGACUCCAACACCUCGCCGCACGCCCAUGGCUAGACAUCUGGAGCGUAAACAAUAUAAGACGGGGGGCCCAACAACGGAAACAAUGAAUUGGGUGGGCCUGACUUUGAUCCUACGAUAAAAAAAGAAAAAAAUAUAUAAAGUAGCAUACUUAAGUAUUAAAUUAUAAAAAAUAACCACAUUUUUAUCAAAUUACAUUUUGUAGCAUAUGUAUUUAUAUUUUUGUAGCAACAGUUUGCAAAAACACAAAAUACAUAUCGAUCAUAAGGGCAGUAAAAAUCAUAUGCAUUUGUGUUUUUGUAGCAACAAUUUGCAAAAAUACAAAAUACAACUUGCUAUAUUAUGUAAUUAUGAAAUUGUUGCUAUGAAACUCAUAAUUAAGAGGAUAAGUAUGCUAUUUCUGAAUUUUGCCCAUAAAAAAAUAGAUCUUAGGCCUAACUCAACCUCAAAAGCUAGCUCAUGAGGAGAGGAUUGCCCAAGACUAUAUAAGGAGACCAAGGACCCCUUUAGCGGACUUCAACACCCCCGCACGUCCAUGGCUGGACAUCUGCAGUGUGGACAAUAUAAGACGGGGGGCCCAACAUCGAAAAUAAUGAACUAGAUGGCCUGACUCUGACACUAUGAUAAAGAAGGCCUAACUCAACCUCAAAAGCUAGUUCAUGAGGGGAGGAUUGCCCAAAACCAUAUAAGGAGAUCAAGGACCCUUUAAUCCACCGAUGUGGGACUUCAACAUAAAAAGUCUAGACACAAGUUAACAAAAAGGUGACAACAUAGACCUUUGUAUUCCCCACCUCCCAUCUUUUAAUAUGAUAAUGAAGGCGUUAGACUUAUCUGAAAGUUCUGCCAAAAAUUCUCCAUAUGAUUUAUCGAUGAGACUUGAUCAUGUGACAUAGCUAAUAUAGAAAAUAGCCAUUUGUGAGCUUUAUUAGGUUUUAGAUGAGAAUCUGAAUUCGAGAAAAAAUGAGUCAAUUUUAAAACUAAAAUUAGCGUCGUUUUUCUUAAAAUGGAAAAAAUGCAGAGUGGAGUAAGAGUUAAGAGGAGCGGAGUAGGAGUUAAAGAAAAGCUUUUGUGGUUGGGGACAAGAAGCAUGUGAUACCCCUCAUAAUUUUAACACUAUUUUGACUUUUCAUGAAGAAACAAUCACAUUUUUCAUUUCUAUGUCAUUUCCUAAUUUCAUUUUGGUCCGUGUGUAUUUGACUGCACACAUCUAACCUUGAAUUAUCUAAAAUGAAUAAUUUUAGUCUAAUUACUAGCUGAUCUGAACAAUACAAAUAAACCAUAUGUUACUAUUACGGACAAUUUUGAAUUGCAUAGACUACUUCAUACAUUAUACACUAAAUUAUUUAUGUUUAGUCUAUCAUAAAUUCACGUGCUAGCAACCGAAAGGUGUCAACGAGAUUUACUAUAGUACGUGUAUUGCAUGUGUCUAUUACAUCAACUAAUAAAUAUAUAAUAAUUAUUGAAAAUAUUAAUUAAUAAUAAAAUAAAUGCAAUAUUUAUUCACACAAUCGUUACAAAAAUGUUAAUCAAGCUUUUACCCAUUUAUAAGUUUUCAUAUUAGACAAAAUUUUCAUUUAAAACAAACAACUUUUUUGAAAAUAGUAGUUGAUGCUAAACUAAUUGAUGAAAUAUAAUAUCUUUAAUUUUAACAUAAUAAGAAAUUUAAUAAAUUAAUUGUAUAGCAAUAAAUGACACAUAAAAGUUUUUUUUUUUCUACUAAUUGUAAAUAAGUCCUGGUUUCAAAAAGCUUGGACACGAGAGCAUAGAAAAGAUAAUAGUAAAGACUCCUUAAUAUUAUUUUUUUAUUUGUUUAUACUUCAACCUUCAUCCAAGUCAGUCUACCUCUGUCUUUCCAACUUCUCAUCUUUUAACAUGAUGACAAAGGCGCUAGACUUGUUUGAAAAUUCUAUGAUUUAUACAUGAAACUUGAUCAUGUGAAGCAAUAAAUAUAAGCAAGAGCCAUAUAUGAGGUUUAUUAGAUUUUAGAUGGGAAUUUGGAUCGAAGAAAGUGGGUCUGUUCUGAAGUUUGGAUUAACAUUGAUUUGCUUCAAAUAAAAAAAGAGCAGAGAGUGAAGUAGGAGAUCAGAGAAGCUAUUGUUGUGGCGGACAAGAAGCACGAUAUACGCCUCAUAUUAUGACACUAUUUUGACUUAGUAGGAAGGAAAAAUGACAUUUUUCAUCACGUUUCAAAUUAUCGAAUCGUGAAUACGUCUAUUAUAAUCUACCUAGUUUGGAGAGCCCCUUACCACUCCCAGAAGAUGUUAAGCAGAAGUUUUUAUUAAAAUAGUAACUCAUCUUUACUACAUAAGCUUAUACAAAACAAAUGCAGAAAGUAUAAACUACCCAGGAAUUUAGUCUAAACAGGUAUAAAAUUUUCUAAAGCAAAAGUAAAUUGAACACAACUUCCACCAAGAGUAAGAUAAGUAGGAGCUGCUGAGGAAUCUCUAUCUGAAACAAUCAUGAAACCAACAUUGAUUCAUGCAAAAGACUAUACCCCAAAAAGGGUGCAACAAGAGUAUUAUCAGUACAAAUCACACAUACUGAUAAGCCUCAUUAAUCGAUUCAAAUUGAAUUGUACAAACAUAAAAUAAAAUUUUUAAAAAAUCAUGCAUCUUAUUAUUCUCAUUACCUAACCCAGUAUCACUUGUUUUCCAAUUAUGGACACCUGAUAACCACUUAGCCUUACCUUUAUGAUUCCCUAAAAUGAUCUAGUUAUCUUCUGCUAACUCUUUGGUUAUGGACUUUGAGGUACCGUUCUUACCCUUACGACUCCACCGCCCUGAGCCACUACCUCUGGCCUUACACCAUGGACUACCAUGAAUCAUAAAGAACCAACCACAUCAAAGAUGAACCUAACUUGUAUCAAUUCCUUAAAUAAGUCUACCUAGCAUUCAUGGGAAUGUCCCACCAAGACAAGUAAAUCGUCAAUAAGACCCCAAGACACUAACCGAGACUUAACAAUAACUUACAAUCGUCUUCAUAUUAUCCUACUUAUGGAGAAAAUCCUAAACACAAAUGCCAUUUCACUACAGGAGAUAAUAUAAUAAGUUAAAUAACCAACAAGAAUUAAUAGUCAAGUCAAACCAAGUUAAAUUAAGUUAAACACCAAAUUUAAUGAUACAUAUAUAUGCAUUGCUCGGUCCACUGAUGAAAUCGUCAAACUUACUUGUACCUUAUACAUACAUGCUAAGGAUAUUAUAAUCACUAUCUAGUCAUGACCCGUAGGGGAUAAAUUCCAUCCAUGAACCUAAUCCAGACACAAGUAUCUGCUAACCUUAUUCCAUCAAUAUCCCAUGAGAAUGUUCAAUUAUUGAGACAUUCCACAACAAUCCAUAAUGAGAUAUACAAAAUCAUACAGAGCAAAGAUAUCACCAACACUUCCACUAUCCACGUGCUUUAUGUAAGGUUCAUUUAUAAGACAUCUACACUUAAAUAACACAUACUAAAAAAGCAAUGGUGUGAGAUAGUUAACAUACCCACAUAACAAAAUCGAAUUAAACUAUGUAAUCCUCACUCCACUGCCAUCCAAUCCCUAAACAUUCCACUUAAAUUAUUUUCCUUUUCUAAAACAACAAAUCGGGUUACCACCCUUGAUGCUAUCAAAAUUUACCAACACUCCCUGAUCUUGGAUGUAUUUAUAUAUCCAAACACCGCGAUUUAUUCAUAUUUGAACUUAUUUUGUGAAUAAAAAGUGUGCUACUUAUAUUAAAUUAUAAAUUAAAUUGUGUUUCAUGGCUAACUGAUGUGAUUAGACAUAUAGGGUUAAUUUCUCAUAGAUUUGGAAGAAAAUUAGGUACACAUCAUGAAGAGGCGGAUGACCAUGUGGAUCAAAGUAAAAAACAUAUGGAAAUGCAACAGAGUAAAGAGAAAAGAAAGAAGUUGAGGAUUGACGAAAAGAAAAAAAGAAAAAAAGAAACUGGUGAAAAAUUUCAGUGACGCAAUGCGAUCUCAACGCGUUGCGUCGACUGGCAAGAUGUGUGCCUUAGCAAAAAUAUGAAGAAUAAUUUUUAGUGCAUCGACGCGAUGGCGAUGCGUCGCAUUGAUGCAUAAGUUCUGUGCCUUAGAGAAUUCUACGUGUGUAAUUUCUAGUGCAUCAAUGCGAUUCUGAUGCAUUGGUCGAUGCUUAAAACUUUGACACUUAGCCAAAUUUUGAGGAGCAAAUUUCAGUGACAUGAUGUGAUGUCAACAUGUCACGUCAGGUAGUGAAGGAUAUGACUUAGUUUGAUUUCAAAGUUGAAUUCCAGUGUGGCAAUGCGAUGUUGAUGCGACGUGUUGGUUGGAUCAAUGCGAUUAGCGACGCUUCGUGUCAUGGUUUCAGUUCUGGUGAAAUUUUCCUAAGUAUAAAAGGAACAUGUGAGCACAAUUCCAAAUACUUUUUGGCAAGCAUAUCAGCGACGGAAAAGCAUAGAAUUCUUAUUUUAGGGUUCUUCUUAUUUCUUUUGAAUUCUUUACUUCAAGACUAAUUUUGGGUAUGAUUAAUUACUUGUUUUUGAUGUUUAAUUCAAACAUGAAUGGCUAAAUACCCUUGUUCUGGGGUUAAGGUCAAGAACAUGAUUAUUCUUUGAUAUUCUUUAUAGUAGUUUCUUUUUGGAUUAUCACUUGGGUUGUUCUUAAUUUCUUGAGCUUACCACUUUAAUGCUUGGCUGCCAUUAGAAUAAAUUUAUAUUUCUAUGUGAAUUCGGGAGGAGAAUCAUAGAUUAGAACGAGGAAAUUAAGGAGCAAGGUUCUUACCCUUUUAUAAAAUAAGGGGUUUGAAUUAGCAUCUAGGAUAGGGAUAUACCUAGAAGCCUUGUUUGGUUCAAUUGCAAGAAGAUUACUUAAUGAAUCUAGAAGAAUUGUUGUAUCUCUACCGGAGUUGUAGCUGCAAUAUUAAUAGAUAAAAGAUUUUAGGUUGGGAGAUCAAAAUCGUUGCCUAAACCUUGUGAACUAACAGCCUGAUAACCAAUUAGAUUACUAUAAGAAUAGAGAUUUAUAUAAUUGUUCGAGAAGCCUCAACCCUGGAAUUCUUUUCAUACUGUUUACAACCGUUGCUUGCUUUGCUCUAGUCAUAAAAUUUUAUUUCUUAUUUUUUUAAUUUAUAUUUUUAUUCUGAAAUUCAAAAUUAUCUUGAUACUAUACAACACCUAAUACUCAUUGUCUGAAACUAAAAAUUGGUUAAAUUUCUAGUUGUUUAGUCCUCGUGGGAAUGAUAUUUGAUUGUCUAAAUCACUAUAUUACUUGAACGAUCACGUGUACUUGCGUGUGCAUCUGAGUCACAACACUUCCUAUAGUAUAUUCAUUUUCCUUAGGAGUUUACACUAGUGAUCGAUAAGUUUCCCUUUCCACUACCCUAAUUAUGAGUCUACGGUAGUGAACCACCUCCCCGCAGGUUACCUUAACUUUAAUCGAUUUUAGCCAUCCAAUCUCCAUGCCUAGAAGCCUAAUUAUGAAAUCUCCUGUCUAUCUAUGUUACAUUUAUAUUUUGUAAUAUGGAUCUACACUACUCCAUUAACUUUAGCUCACCUGGAUAUCAACCAGCUAUAGGAAGGAUGAACGAAUGUGAAUUUCAACCUUGCCUUAAUAUUACGGAUGCUAUUUCAUUAUUUCUCAACAAAUCAUGGGUUCGCACCCUGUCCGCACCCAUUUUCUUUCUCCGUAGCUCCAAGGCAUGGGAGGCAACCCUAUAUAUUUUUGUAUCCCUCCCACGUCGAUGGUUUCAACUUAUGGAGAGAAAAAAAAUUAAAUUCUGCAUAAGGGGGUUUCUGAUCCGUGGCAUGUCAUUAGUGCGAGAUUUGUUGCUAUAAUAGAAUGAGUCUUGUUAUAGCGGGCUGAUGUCAGCCUGUCACGACCUGACCCGAGGCCCUGGUCGCGACAGGCAUCCCAAACCACACAGGCCCGAGAUACCCCUGUCAUGUCCCAACCCACUAGUGAUAUUAUCCGCUUUGGGCCCAGGCCCGCACGGAUUUAAAACUCAUCACUAGGGAGUAAGACUUUCUUACUUAUAUACCCAGCAUUCCUCUUGUGUUUUACCGAUGUGGGACUUCUUCCUAAGUUAGGAUGUUACAUACAACCCCCCUUAUGGACUCAGCAUCCUUGCUGAGGUUUGCCCUUUCGAACUCAGCAUCCUCGCUGAGGUUUGCCCCACCGAAUGGGAUUUGCCUACACUCAGGACUAAGGUUGGCCCCGCCUUACCGGGAUUUGCAUACACUCAGUUUGAACUCUGGGCCACAUCAAUAGGGACGACAUAGGAGCAGCUUUGAUACCAUUCUGUCAUGACCCAACCUGAGGCCCUGGCCGCGAAAGGGAUCCCAAACCACAUAGGCCCGAGAUACCCUUGUCACGUUCCAACCCACUAGUGAUACUGUCCACUUUAGGACCGGGCCCGCACGACUUUAAAAUGCGUUACUAGGGAGUAAGACUUUCUUACUUAUAUACCCAGCAUCCCUUUUGUGUUUUGCCGAUGUGGGACUCCUUCCUAAGUUGGGUUGUUACACAGCCCAAUCAAUACUUUUUGAAUUUCAAAUUUAACUUGCGUAGCCCCAUUCUAUUUUACGAUCAUAGUUUCGAUAAUUUUCGUAUCCCAUACUCAUAUCGAGGUGUUUUCUAGUAACGGUGAAUUGGGUCGUUACAUCUUUGUCCUUGUGUUAUUGCCUAAUUUUGCUUUUGAUAAUGUAAUAUUUAAUUGUGCUCAUCUAACCAUAGAUUAACUAAAGUGAGAGAGUUUAAUUAAUUACUAAAUGAGCUUAAUAUUAUAAACAGAGCAUCUACUAUCUUUAAGACAAAUCCGAAAUUACAUAACUACUUAAUUUAUUUUACUUAAUAAUUGAUUUGUUUUUAAUCUACCACAAAUUCGUGUGAUAGCAACCUAAAGGUGUCAACUAAAUUCAUUAUAGACUAGUUUAAUGAACGUGCUUUGCACUUGUAUGUCACAUAAAGUAAUAAAUAUAUAAUAAUUCUUGAAACUAAUAAGUAAUGUAAAUAAAUGCAAUAUGUUUUCACAUAAUCCUUACACAAAAUAUUAAUCAAUUUUUUAUCUAUUAAAAGAGCUUUCAAAUUAGACAAACUUUUUCAUUUAAAACAAACAGUUUUUUAAUAAAUAGUAGUUGAUAUUAAAAUAAUUGAUGAAAGUUUAAUAUUUCUAAUUUUAACAUAAUAAUGAAUUUAAAUAAAUCAGUUGUGUAAAAAUAAAUGACACAUAAAAACUUUUCUUUUUCUUUUUUAGUUUCAGCAGACUCAUGAAAUAGUGCAAGGUCUUAGUGCUCAACCAGCUACAACUAAUAACAAAUGAGAGUCCAUACUGAAGGGGAAAAUUUAUUUGAUUGAAGAAAGAUGUCAAAGCUCAGCUUGAACAUAGAAUAUUUAAGGGAAGUAUAAUGAAGUAGAAGUCUAGAGUUUAAUGGCUACAUUUGAAAUAUAAAAAUCAUCAUACUUAUUCGCUUGUAUGAAGAGUAGACUGGUCGAUAAUCAAACUAGAAGACUUACCAUAAGAGAGAUUAUUCAUACUAAAAAAAUUAUUAAAACUAAAGUGGUAAGUCUCAAUCAUGAACUACAAGUUACUGCAACACCUAAUUUGUUAGUGAUAAAAAAGGAUAUAAUGAAUAAUGAAAUAAAGCUAAUCAUAAUUAGGUCACAACAGCUAAGCUUGAUCAAUAAGGUUACCAUUGAGGAGAUCAAAGUUGCAUAAGCGAAACAAGUUAAGCAAAAAGCAAUAAAAUAUUAUGGAUUUAAUUUAUUAUUUUUUAAGAAAGGCUGACAAGUAGUUGGUGAAGAUAUUAUUCAUGUAAUAUCUGAAUUCUUUGCAAAUAUGUACAUGUAUUAAUAAGUUGAUUACACUUCAAUGACAUUAAUUUAAAAAAUAUGAAUUUGAUCACUAUAAAUAAAUUUUGGUUAAUCUCUUGUUGUUCAAUGACAUACAAAAUUAUUUCUAAGAUCCUAACCAAAGAGAAUGCAAGGAAUUGUAAUUGAUCUAGUAAAUUCUAGACAAAACAAUACUUGUUCUAAGAAGAGAUAUCAUAGAUAAUAUUAUGCCUGGACAUGAAUUGAUCAAAAGAUAUGAUAGAAACCACCUCUUCCUUAGGUAUGUGCUUAAGUUGAAUAAAGAAAUAGUCUAUGAAAAUAUUGAAUGAAAUAUCAUUGAGAAAAUACUGAUAGAACUUCAUUUAUCAAGUAAGUUCAUCCAUUGGAUUGUGACGGGUAUGAAAACAGUUUCAUAUUUUUUAUUGAUUAAUGGUAUACUAUCUCCACCUUUUAAAGACAAAAAGGAUUGAGGCAAAGAGAACCAAUGUAUCUUUACUUAUUUGUACUAGUUAUGAAGUACUUUAAUAGGAGUUUAAAGAAGAUGACCAAAAGAAUUACAUUCAUGUUUCACCUCACGUGUGCCAGAACUAGGAUUGUUCAUUUUGAAUAUGCUGUUAAUUUACCGUUGUUUGUAAAGGGAAAUUUGAUUUUGUUCAUCAAAUAGUUUAGUGUAUUAAGGAUUUCUCACAAUCACCUAGACUUGUUACAAGUAUUAUUAAAAGCUUUAUGUACUUUGAGGGUAUCCAUUAUACCAAACAACAACAAAUUAUAGAAAUCCUUUGCUUUACAAGAGGUGAGCCUCAAUGUCCAAGAGGAUCUCUAUGAUUCAAUGUCAACCACUAGUGGAGAAGUGAUUAGGAGAAUCACAAGCUGAACUAAUAAAUUUCUAUUCUAUGCUAGAAUGGAGCAAUUAAGAGUGUCUUAUUUUCUAUUAAGAUACUUUAGGAAUGAGUUUACAUACUGUCAAAAUAAUUAAUCUAAUAAUCAUUACCUACAAAAAAAUUCAUAGACAAGAAGUCAUAAAGAAUCUAAUAAGGCAUGAUUGUAUGAGGAACUUUGUGUCUCUCUAAAAUCGUUGGGGUUAAAUUUUAUGGAUAUUGAGGCAUUGAACAAGUUGCUAUUUGUUAGUAGUUUUGAAACUUAUGUACCAAUAAAGACAGAUCAUGGUUGCUAUAGGUGCAUGAGUAUUUUGGACGAAAUGGACAAUUCCUAAAUGCAAAGUGUACGCAGGCAUUCUGGUUUGAAUAAGAUCCUAAAGUCAGGAAUCUAUUGUAAUGCCUUGAUUUUUUAAAUCGAGAUGCUACACGGUGUCCAUGACCCCGAAGACCACAAACUAACCCAUGACUGAUAUCUGUACCUGUACACUGCAUAAUAUAUAAAUAUAAUUAUGGAAAGCUGGUGAAAACUUGUCAUAAGGUUCAAAACGUCUAAAAGUACUCAAAACUGAAAAUUGAAUACUAAUACAUCUGUCUGAAAAACCUCUAACUGUCUGAUCUAUGGAGUUGAUGGGAUAUGUCCCCAACUAAAUCCGUCUACUGAAAACAAUCUGAAUCUAAUGAGAUAGUAAAAAAAUAAGGAUCAUCCUCGAAUGAACUCGAAUGAAGAGGACUCACUGCUACGUCUUCUGCUGCUGACUGGGUCUGGACUGCUAAGAGUGCUCUGCGGCUCGUGCUUCUAAAGCUAUGGCAUAAAAUAAAACACCAUAGCACAAAUGCAUCAGUAUGGGAAUAUACUGAGUAUGCAAAUAAGGUAAGGCUAAAUGCAAGGGCUUAUGCAUAAACAAUAGCUAACUGAAUGAUAUGCAAGAGCUGGAUUAGCAUACAUAGAGAAUCUAUAACUACUUAACAUACUGUGCAUAAUGUGACUGGGCAUACUGGGACUGAAUCUGAUAACUUAUACUAAAUAUACUAUCAAUCUGAGGUUUCUGAACAUACUGGGAUUAUACGUAUCUAAAGCUAUUGAAACUGAUACCUAUACUUAUUAAUACUGAUAAACUGGAUGACUGAGUCUAUCGAUAACUGAUAUUAACUAGCUGAAUCUGCGAUCAAACGUAUCUAGUAGGAUGAUCUCUAAAUCUUCUAAUAAUGAUUAAGAUUGACUAGGCUUGAGAUCAGGCCAAACGGGUGAUCUCUGGAACUGAUAUUAAGAAUACUCAACUGAAUCUAAGACUGAGAUCAAGCCUAUCUGACGGGUGACCUCUGUAGGUACUAAUACUGAAUAACUUUAUGUGAGACCAAGCCUAGCUAGCGGGUGGUCUAUGAAUCUAUAGAACUAUUUGAGUUCCUCACUGAGAUUGAUGACUGUAUCUGAUAGUCCUGAUUUCUGAGUCCUACUAUGAAGACUGAUACUGAAACUGUAACUGUGGGAGUUCUUACUUAACCGACAUGCCCCGAAUCUGAACUAGUGAGGUCCAACAUAUAACCCCAGCUAGAAGGGCGUUAAUACCGUGUUACGGGUAGAGACCUCUGCUAUGGUCAAGCCUCUCUGAUGGGUGACCUUGAACAAAAAGUCAAGCCUAAGGCAAUAUAAUAGUCAAGUCAAGCCUUAAUCUGACAGGUGAUUCCUAGUCCUGCGCUGGCUACGUAGUUCUGGAGUACAGGGAUUGCUGCUAACGACUCUGUCUCUCUAAAGGGGAAGCCGUCAUCCCCAUACUCGCUCGGUGCUAGUUCCUACUCCCAAUUGAAAGACUCUGCACUGAUUCUUAACUGAACUAAAACUAAGCUGAAUCUAUUAUUAUUCAUAUUUCUUGACUGAUCUGACUGGGUUCACUUGGUUUCAUUAUCUGACGGAAUAGUACUGAAUCUAAUAUCUGACAGAAUGAUACUAAGUUCCAAAUUCUGUAACUAACUGAGUUCUAGUGAUUAUAGCACGACUGGAAUUAUCUUGAGACUGACUCGGCUCUAGGCACAACUAUAAUUUUUGGGUACAAGUGCCCCCAGGACUCGAUAGAAGAAAACUGACAAAACAUGACUUCUUGAAUUCACGACGAACAUCAACAUCAUAGCAUGUAUUCAAGUAUACAUAAUUGAGGACUUCAUACUAACAUAUAACAAUUCGUUCAACAAGGGAUGCACAAGGAUAAGAAUGUACACAAACAUACUAUAAUUUAUUCACUAUGGUCUCUCAACAAACACUUGGCGUGCAUGGCUUAUACUAAAUUUGGGGGUUUCUAGGAAAUAUGCUAUAAUGAUCCAAUUUCCUUCACACAAGCAUUUUAUCAAACACAUCUGGAGCAUGGUUUGGUCAUAUAACAAUUUCCACACCUAAUUCUCAUGGAUAAUCAAUCAACAUACAACUUGAAGGGAUUUAUCUUGAACAUCAUAUAAUUAUUACAUAAUAGGGUCAAAGUUUGCAACUUUAUAAUCAUAUCAUGAAUUAAAACUCAACAAUAAUAUAACCUUCAAACUCAAUUCACCUAAACCAUGGAAAACACAUAAAUUUAAAAUCUUGAAUUUAGAAAGAGGGAUCUUGAACUUCUUGGGUGGAAGGACCCAAGAAUCAACACUUGCAUACCUCAAUGGCUUGAAUCUUGAAAGAGAAUGUAUUUUCUUGAAGGUUCUUGAAUUGGGAAUGAUAAUUUCUUAGUUUUAUUGAAGGAGAGCUUGAAUCUUGUUCUUGGGUGAUGAUCUUGAGAGGAAACCCUAAUUUUCUUGUUCUUGAGAGUGCAGAGGAUUAAGGGUUUUUAAAACUGAUUUAUGAUGGUUAUGUACGUGAUUUUGAUGAUUUAUGUCAUGGAAGGUGAUGGAAAAUUCCAAAAUACCCCUAUGAAACUGCUUCCUAGUUGCUGAAAUUAUCAACUGACGACCAAGGCUGAUAAGCCGUCAGAUCUGUAAUAGCCCAUCAGCCCAGGUGUCACCUAGGAGCUGGAAUUGAUGGGUUGCUGUCUAAGCUUGACGAAAUGGCUGUUAAGUCAUCAGAAAUGUCAUUACAAAUAUGACAAGUCAUCAUAAAUGUCAUCAGAAAUAUGAUAAGUCGUCAAAAAUCUCGUCACUCAGUUUCCAGGUUGACAUGCUGGAGUAAAAUGGAUAUAAAUUUUUGCUCCGAUAUCGAAUUUGGAUGCAAUUGGUAUCGUUGGAAAUUUAAUUAAAUUAUCUAUCUGUUGGUUGGUCAUGAGCUCAAAAAUUCAUAGUACAACAAGAGAUAUGCUCAUUUGAAUUUGACUAUGGCAAUAUUCUUCCCAAGAAUUCAAUCGGUAAGGAAUGUUUUGCUUCGUCUGAUAGCUGAGAGUUAUUUGAAACCUUAAUAUACAUCUAAUUUACACAUAAAACUAUAAAAUAAUAUUGAUGUACUAUGCAUGAGAUUGAAACAUGACGCUAAUAUUGAUUUGGAUUUUUUUUGGGGUAUUACAUCUAUGUUGUACCAGAUGGUCUUACUAUAAAAGAGCUCUUAGAUGAGCGUAGACUUAUAAUAUAAAAAUUUCAUCACAAGCUAAGAGGAAUCCUUCCAAAUGUGGAUCGAAGAGUAAUGGCCUAUAACGAUUUUUGCCGCCAAAAAGGAUAUAUAUAAGGCUGUGUGACAACCCAAAUCAUUGUUUUGCUGAAUUAGGAGGUAAAAUUUUUACCUAGUCUCACCUGAUGCUAUUUAAAAAAAAUUUAAGGCUAUUUUAGUGUUGUACAAAUUUUGAGGGUGUACUACUCGAGGAAAAUCUAGGAUUAAUAUUAGUAUUUGUGGUGAUGUUUAACUUAAUUUUUAAAUAUAUAACGAGUUUAAAAAGUCGUAGCUACCUCUAGCAUCCAAAAUAGAGUUGUAGAACUCUGAUUAAAGAAUUUACCAUGGGGGAAGGGGGGAGGGGGUUCGCAAUUCUAUAUUUUAAAAAGUGUGUUGUAAAAUAAGCAUAAAUAAAGAGAGGCCCAUAGAUUCUGCCUCAGGACCGCUGCAGGAAAAAACAAAAAUCAUUGCAGCAAAAAAGCCACCAUCGAAGUAGUGUCCAUUAUUAAGCCACGAACUGCUGCAGUGGUAACACACGGUAUUUUUCCAAUUUUAAUUACUCAGAAUAUAAUUUUCAUUUCCACUUUUAAAAAAAUGAGUAUGGGCUUAUCAAGAGGCAAUUUCUGCAGAGUUUAUGAGAUUUUCAUCUGUAAAGGUAAGUUUAUUACAAUCUAAAUUUGAAUUAAUUCUUAGAAUCCAUAGAAAUUGUUAGAAAACUUAUUGAUAUUGGAAUUUUGGGGGUGGUGGUGGUGGUGGUGGUUUAACCCUAGUUCAUGAUGCUGAUUUUAAUUGGUGUGAAUAAGUACAAAAUUAGUAGAUAAUAAUCCUAGAGAGUUUAUUAGAGAGUUGACCAAAUCCUAGGUUGACCAAAUAAGCUUAUUUCCUCCCAAUUCAUACAUCCUACUCAGCCGAAGAUUAUGCUAAGCUGUAUAUGAGAGAGUUGGUCAGAUUGGACGGAGUUCCUUUAUCUAUUAUUUUAGAUAGGGGUACUCAGUUUUCCUCUUACUUUUGGAAAGCCUUUCAAAAAGGUCUUGGUACCCAAGUUCAUCUCAGUUCAGCUUUUCACCCUCAGACAGAUGGUCAGGAGAAAGUACCAUUCAGACCCUAGAGGAUAUGUUGAGGGCAUGUGUUCUUGACUUUAAGGGUAUUUGGGAUGAGCACUUACCGUUGAUCGAGUUCUCCUACAAUAACAGUUACUAUGCUAGCAUCCAGAUGGCCCCAAUUGAGAAUCUUUAUGGGAGGAGAUGUAGGUCACCUAUCGGUUGGUUUGAAGUAGAUGAGGCCACUUUGAUAGAGCCAAAUGUGGUGUUAUAAGCCAUAGAGAAAGUCCAGUUGAUUUGAGAAAGGUUAAAAAUAGCUCAGAGUGGUCAGAAAUCUUAUGCAGAUGUAAGGAGAAGAGAUCUUGAGUUUGAAGUUGAUGACUUAGUNNNNNNNNNNNNNNNNNNNGGGCGGGGGGGGUGAACAGAUUUGGAAAAAAAGGGAAGCUUAGUCCCCGAUAUGUUGUCCCUUAUAAGAUAUUGAGCUAUGUUGGAAAGGUGGCAUACGAGCUUGAGUUUCCUGCAGAUUUGUCAUCCGUUCACCCUGUGUUCCAUGUAUCCUUAUUGAAGAAAUGUAUUGGUGAUUCAGUUGUUGUAGUACCCUUAGAAAGAACAGAUAUUCACGAUAGCCUCUUUUAUGAAGAAAUUCCAGUUGAGAUUCUUGAUCAUCAAAUUCGUAGUCUAAGGAACAAAGAAGUUUCCUUGGUCAAAGUUUUUCGGCGGAAUCAGUUCGUUGAGGGAGCCACCUAGGAAGCAAAAACAGAUAAACGAACAAAGUACCCUCAUCUUUUUGCCAUAAAUUCAGAUUUAGGUCAAGGUAAUAAGAUUCCUUAGAUCAUCUUUUUUUCAUUCUAAGUUUCAGCUUUAUAUAGUCACUCUCUUGAUAAUGCAUGCAUUUACAAAUCAGUUUAGUCAUGUUUUUAGUUGUGCAUGCCAUAUUAUUGUCUCAGUCCCUCAGUAACCUCAGCUUAAUCAGUUUCAUUCGAGGCCAGAUAUUUCCAAAGGGGGGAUAUUGUAAUACCCCGUACAUUCCUAGUUCAGCUCAACCCCUAACAUUUGCUUAUAGAACUUAUAACCUAAAAAUAAAGCUAAGUGUUAAGGGGAUUAGUCACUUUUGACUCCCUUUUAACUUUGAGAUUUUUAAGUUGACCUUCUGAGAUUUGAGACGAUGAUUUUUGAGUUAAAUUAUAUUUAGGGGUGUAAGUAACAUAUUUCGGGUAUGUUUUGGAUUUUUCUAACUAGGAUUGGAUGGUGGUUGGGUCGGAAUUACAGCAGCUCACCAUGAUUACAUCGCAUCGCGUUGAGUAUGGCGUUAAGAAGUUCACCGUAUCGCAGUGGAGUGUAAAAAGGCAAUUGUCAAUUUCUAGGGGGCCAUUGCGAUUCCACCAUGGGAAGGGGGGGGGGGGUAUUGUGAUGACCCACUCACUGCAUUGCGGUGACGCUCAAAUUAGAAAUGGUCCCUUUUCCGGUGAGUCACCGCGACUCCACGCAUCGUGGUGUGUAUCACAAUGACCUAUUCACCACAUCACGGUGAAGCCUUAAACGACAUUCCAGUUCCGAGUAUUAAAUCCCCAAGGGUAGUUUAGUCUUUUCUCGACCCCCUAAGUCAUGAAAAACAAAAGAUUAAACCUAUUCUAAGCAUAGUAUACCCCUUUUUCGUCAAUAUGCUCUCAAAGAAAAUCCUAGAGCUUCAAUUUUAAACUUCAAAAAAUCCAAAAUUCACCUUCUUUUUCAAAGAUAAUUCAAAAUUCAAGGUUCCUAGUUUAAGAUCUUCAAGAAAAAAUCUUCAAGAACACAAAUAGGAAUUCAAAGUCAAGUGUCUUCAUCAAUUUAAUCAAUUAAGGUAUGUAGGGUUAUGAACAAGGAUAAUCCUUUCAUCUUUGUGCCCAAAAUUUGUUUUUAAACUUGAAUUUACAUGAAUAUACAUGAUUUGAGUGUAGGGUUUAUACUUAAUUCUCCAUUAUUUGAUGUUUAUGAUGUUACAAGUCAUUUGAAUAUGGAAUUGCAUCUCUAUUUUUACGUAUCCAUAUGUUUGGAUUAGUUUUACAUAUAUUGAGAAUUGAAUUUCAUUGUCUCGACUAUAAUUGUUAAAGAAAUUUCAAGAUUUUGGUUAUCAAGCAUGAACCUUAUGAUGAUUUGACAUGAGUUAAAGCAUGGGUUUAUUAAGACCUAUUUUGAAUAUUGAUAUUUCAAUUAGAUCCUCAGCUAAGAUAUGGAAUCCACUUUAUAGUUUUGAUGGCAAUUUUGAUUACAGAUUUGUUUGAUUACUGUUUAAAACAGAUAAAAGCAUAAUUGGUUUUCAUUAUAAACCUUUGUGCUAUUUCAAAGUGGAUUUCCUAUAGCAUGAGCAUACAGAUUAAAGGGAGUAGUAUUUAGAUUAUUCCUAUUUAUAUGGAUGACAGAUAUAGAUUAUGAUCACAUAGCUCAGGUUAUACUCCUUGGCAAGAGUAUGACACCUCUCCCCAAUGUAAGGAUUUUCCCUUAGGGGAACUUGACCUUGUACUCUAUGAUAGCUCACAUAAUUUAUGUCGGUUCGAAGAACCUCCCUUGUAGAAUAACUUUUAAAAGAAUUUCCUAUUAGAAAAGCCUAACAGAAAAGAAUUACCGAAAAGCUUUAGAAUUUAAGUGUGAAGACUCAUAGUUUCAUCCAAAUAUUAUUUUACAUCAGAUAUUAGUCAUGAGAUUUCAUCUUUUUCUUUUCAUGAUCCAUCGUGCUUACAACUGUCUCUAUCUUCUUUUUACUCGUGCUCUUACAUUACAAAAUAUACCUCUUCAUAGAGCUAAUGCCCGUAAACUAAUAACCAGCCACCCCAACUUACUGACCCUCUAAAUGAGAAUGUGUCCCAUACUGAAUUUUGGGUCACUUUUCAGGUGUUGGCCUAAGCUGUAACUACCAAUGUUCAGGGCAAUCAUCAGGCUAUAAUUCCUCAUCAGAAAGAGGGUGAUUUUACUACAGCCAGACUUUAUGACUUUAUGAGAAUGAAUUUGCUUAAAUUCUUUGGGUCAUAGGUAGGUGAGGACCCACAGUUGUACCUUGAUGCAGUGAAAAAGAUCGCUAAAGUUAUGCAUGUUACUGUAGUAGAGAGUGUAGAAUUGGCUUCUUACAGGCUGAAGGAUGUUGCUUUUGAUUGGGUGGUUAUAUAGAAGAAAGGUAGAGGUGAAAAUGCAGCUCCCAUGAGUUGGAAAGCAUUUCAGGAUGCGUUUCUAGAAAGGUUCUUUCUGCGUGAGUUACGAGAAGCAAAGAUUGAGGAGUGCAUGAACCUGAGGCAGGGCUCAAUGACAGUGAAAGAGUAAUGCCUUAAGUUCAAUUAGUUAUCUAAGUAUGCUCCUGCUUUGAUAGCUGACCCUAGAUCCAGUAUAAGUAAGUUUGUUACCGAAGUGACUGGUUUGGUAAUCAAGGAGUGUAGUACUGCCAUGCUUAUUGGGGAUAUGAAUAUUGCUAAAUUAAUAACUCAUGCUCUACAGAUUGAGGCAGAAAAGCUGGGGGGAGGGGUAGACGAAAUAAGAAGGUAGAACUGGGAAAUUUGAGUAUGGCCAACCAAAAUUUUCAAAGGGAAACUGUUUGCAGUUUUAGAGUCGCCUGUCUUUGUUGGCGCCAUCUUCAACCAGUGCUCCUACACCCAGAACCAAGUAGGAGUAGUGGGGUAGGACUUCUAUGUCCAGAUCUUAAAAUAGUGUGAGUGGAAGGCCUAGUUAUCCUGCAUGUUCUAGAUGUGGUAAGAAUCAUCUUGGUGAGUAUUUGUUAGAACAGAAAGGUUGUUUUGGAUGUGGUAAGCUGGGUCACGAAAUCAAAGAGUUCCCAUAUGCUAAGUAAGGAAACAUGGAUGUUCGUCUCUAGACUCAAGCUACUAGUGCACCAGUUCCUCUAGGCUGCCCCUCCCCUCCCCUCCCCGGGGCGCAUUAUCCAGUACUGGUGGCAGUCAGUGCUAGAAUUAGUUCUAUGCUUUACCAUCCCACUAGGAGCAGGAGAGUUCACCAGAUGUUACUGCUAUGCUUCAUGUCUUUCAUCUUGAUGUAUAUGGUGUUGCUAGACCCAGGGUCAAAUCUCUCUUAUAUGACUCUAUUGGUAGUGGUAAAUUUUGGAGUAGAUCUUAAAAAACUUUCGAAGCCCUUCUUAGUUUCUACCUCAGUGGGUGAGUCAGUUGUUUCCAAACAGAUCUAUAAAAAGUGUCCUCUCACUGUCCUUCAUAAGAUCAUUUUAGCAGAUUAAAUAGAGUUGGAUAUGGUCUACUUUGACCUUAUUCUGGGCAUGAAUUAACUUCAUUCCUUGGUAUGAAUUGUCUUUACUCCUGCUAUGCAUCUAUAGAUUGUCACAUUCGAGUGGUGAAGUUUCAAUUCCCUGAUGAUCCAGUCUUUGAGUGAGAAGGUCGUUCAGUAUCUCACAAGAGUCAUUUUAUAUCCUAUCUUAAGGCUAGAAAAUUGAUAUCAAAAGGGUGCAUUUAUCAUCUAGUUCGAGUCAAAGACAUUAAGUCUGAGGCUCCAACAGUGUAGUCAGUCCGGGUAGUAAAUGAGUUUCCAGAAGUUUUUCCUAAAGAUUUACCAAGGGUUCCUCUAGACAGAGAAAUAAAAUUUGGUAUUGAUUUUUUUCCUAAUACUCAGCUCAUAUCCAUCCCUUUAUAUCAUAUAGCUCCAGCCGAUCUUAAAGAGUUAAAGGAGCAACUCAAGGAUCUCUUAGAUAAAGGUUUCAUAAGGCCCAGUGUUUCUCCAUGGGGCGCUCCCGUCCUAUAAGAUUAUUAUACAAGUGAGUUUGAUGAUUUCAUGAGUGGAUCAAGUAAUGCAUAUAUAUUUAUCAUUGAUUCAGAUUAUUCCUAUUUAUAUGGAUGACAGAUACAGAUUGUGAUCACUUAUAAACUCAUUGGCAAGAGUAUGACACCUCUCCCCAACGUGAGGUUUUUCACUUUGGGGAACUAGACGUUGUACUCCAUGAUAGCUCACAUGGUUAAUGUCGGUUAGAAAAACCUCCCUUGCAGAGAACAACUUUUAAAGAAUUCCCUAAUAGAAAAUAAUUAUAGAAAAGCUUUAGAAUUUAAGUGUGAAGGCUCACAGUUUUGUCCAGAUAUUAUUUUACAUCAGAUAUUAGUCAUGAGAUUUCAAUUUUUAGUUUACAGAUAUAAAAGUGAGUUCUUUCCGCACUUAUCCUGCAUGAUUUGAAGAUAGAAUAUGGGUAAAACUUUAGAACUAAAUGUGAUAGCUCACAAGAUUUAUACAGUAUGCCUUAUGAUUUAUGAUUUAUGAUUUCAGCUUUUCGUUAUUCAAUCCAAUGUGAGUUGUUACUCUUAGAAUGCAUUAUUUCAUGAAUUUUUAUGAACAUUGAAAUAGUAAUUUACUUAUGCAUUUACUCCCACAUGCUUAGUACAUUCCAAAAGUACUGAUCCAAAUAUAUGUCUAUGUGCUGCAUUAUUUAAUAAUGUAGGUUCAGGUGCUCAGUUUCACUAGCGUGAGUGAUUUCGAGCAGCUCUAUCUACAUCCCGACAGUUGGUGAGUUCUCAUAGUUCGGGGACCUAGUUUUUUAGACUUUCAGUUAUUAAAGUAGCCUGUUCAGUUAUUUCAGUCAGUUUGAGGCAGCUGGGGGUCUGUCCCAACUCUCUAGUUGUUAGUAGUAGAGGCUUGUCAGACUACUAGUUAUAACUCAGAUUUCCAAUGAUUGAUUGUCCAGGCUUUCAAGUUAAGUAUUCUCAGAUAUUAUGUUCAAUUAAUUCCAGAUUAGUCUCAGACAAAAUUCAGUAUUCCAGCAUUAUUUAUAUGUUUAUAUUUCUCUAUUAUGAGUUUCAGAUUUAGUAGAAGGCUUACAAGGUUUGCUUGAGACUACUCAUACUCUUGAGCAAUGCGUGACAUCUCGGAACCCAUUUUUGGGGCAUUAUAGAUGAACUCUGAGAUUAUCCAAAUGCUGAAUAUACUUCACCAUAUCCCUCUUCUUCGCAUCCAUGAGACAAGCUUCCCAUGGACAACCUGCUAAGAGCAUCAAUAACCACGUUAGCUUUACCUGGAUGAUAGUAGAGACUCAUGUCAUAGUCCUUUAGCAAUUCGAGCCACCUUCUUUGCCUGAGAUUCAAUUCUUUCUAGGUGAACACGUACUGUAGGAUCUUAUGAUCAAAAUAAAUAUCAACAUGAACCCCAUACAAAUAAUGCCGCCAGAUCUUUAAUGCAAACACAACAACCAAUAAUUCCAAAUCAUGAGUCAGAUAAUUCUAUGCAAACACCACAACCAAUAAUUCCAAAUCAUGAGUUGGAUAAUUCUUCUCAUGAACUUUAAACUUUCUAGAGGCAUAAGCAACCACCUUGCCAUGGUGUAUCAAAACACAUCCCAAUCCCACCCUGGAUGCAUCACAAUAGACAACAACACCAUCAGUGCCUUCAGGCAGAGUCAAGAUCAGAGCCGAAGUCAACUUAUCCUUUAGCCUUUUAAAACUACACUCAUAAGUAUCAGAUCAUAAGAAUUUUACCUUUUUCUGAGUCAACUUUGUCAAGGGGCAGUUAUAAAAGAGAAAAUUUCCACAAACCUCCUAUAAUAACUGGCUAAAUCCAAGAAGCUCUGAAUAUCAGAUGAAGUCAUGGGUGUAGGCCACUUCUCAACCACUGCAACCUUCUGUGGAUCCACCAUGAUCCUUUCACUAGAAACAACAUGACCCAAAUAAGUCACAAUAUUCAAUCAGAACGCACACUUAAGAAAACAUACAAACACUGAUCCUUUAAGGUCUGCAACAUAAGGCAGAGGUGAUCGAAAAGAUCUGCCUCACUCUUGAAAUAUACCAUGAUAUCAUCAAUAAAGAUAAUCACAAACAAAUCCAAGCACUGACAAAAAACCCGAUUCAUAAGAUCCAUAAACGCAGCUGAGUCAUUGGUCAAACCAAAGGACAUCAACAAAAGCUCAAAGUGACCAUACCAUAUUUAAAAAUCAUUAUUAGGGAUAUCCACCUCCCUAUUCUUCAACUGAUGGUACCCAGAUCGAAGAUCAAUCUUGGAAAAGAACUAAGCACCCAGAAACUGAUCAAAGAGAUCAUUAAUCCUUGGAAGUGGAUACUUAUUCUUCACGGUUAAUUUAUUCAAUUGGCGGUAAUCAAUACAUAUCAGAAGGGAACCAUUCUUGGUAUGUACGAAAAGAAUAUGAGCACCCUACAAAGACACUAGGAUGGAUAAAACCCUUUUAAGAAGAUCUUUUAACUGCUUCUUGAGUUCCUUCCAAUCAGCUGGAGCUAUUCUGUAAGAAGGGAUAGAAAUAAGAUGAGUGUUUUGAAGAAGAUCAAUCCCAAAAUUGAUUUCCAUAUUGGGAGGAAUAUCAUUAGGGAACACCUCAGAAAAUUCACAGACACAGGAACAAUCUAUAAGGAAGGACCUUCGGAUCUGGAAUCCUUAACAUGCACUAAGUGAUAAAGACACCCUUUGGAAACUAAUUUCUGGGCUCUAUGAUAUGAAAUAAACCUUUACUUAUCCACCAGGGAACUACUCUCCCAUUCGAUUAUCAGCUCAUUAGAUAAAUUUAAAUUGACCCUUUGAGUCCGAUAAUUAAGAGACGCAUAGCAUGAAUCCGACCAAUCCAUCUACAAAAUCACAUCAAAGUCUAACAUGACCAACUCUAUUAUAUCCACCAAGUUCUCCCUACCAUGAACCGAUAUCACACAACCCCUAUAAGCUCUCCCAGCAACAAUGGAGUCACCCACCAAAGUGGACACAGAAAUAAGAUCCGAAAUACACUCAGGAUCAAAACCAAAAUUUGAUAGCCACAUAAGGGGUCACAUACAAGAGAGUAGAACCUAUAUCAAGUAGACAAUAUAAAUCAUGAGAAAAGAGUUUGAGAGUACCAGUAACAACAUUGGGGGAUGCUUUUGAAUCCUUGCUUGUGGCAAGAGCGUACAGAUGGUUUCGACCAGUGUCGAAGCCAAAAGCAGAAGUAGGAUCUUUUAGUGUAGGAGCUGAUAAAGUAGUAACAGAAAUCUUAUUUGCCUUAGAAGCAACCUUAGAAGAACAAUCCUACUACAGAUGACCAAUCUGACAAACAUUUAAAGCACUUAUUCCUUCUUUCCUAGAAAAAAUCACGAUGCACCUGACCAUAAAAUCUACAAGGAGGAUAUGAAGGAGUUGACUGAGCCCCACUAGCCUGCGACUGGGUUUUUAGUGCCCUAAACCCAUUAUUUUAUUGAGAACGAUGAUCGCCUAACUACUUCGAAUAAGGAGCAUUACCCAUAGAGUACGAAUUGGAAUUGCCUCACUUUUCUUAGAUGACUCUCCACCAUCUCUACCACUUUACUAUUGACCUUCACCCUUAUCUGAAUAGCAAAGUUUCUUAUUUUCCUCUCACUUAUCUCCACUUCUUUAUUUCUUCUUAUACUUAUUGCAUAUACACCACAUAUCUAGAGAUGUCCAUAUGCUUGUUCAACAAGUCAGCCUUGCUCUCCAAGAUCAACUCAUGAGAUAAAUCCAAGGUAAAAUUUCUCAUUCUAUCCCUUAUGCUCGACAUUAAUUCAGGAGCAUAAUUCGAUAAAUGAUGAAACUUCAAGGCAUACUUCUUUACUAAUAUUCUACCAUGUUUUUAAUUCAUAAAUGUCUCAGCCUUUGCCUUCCUUAACUCCUGAGAAAAGAACCAAUCAAGGAAAGUACUAGAGAAAUUAUCCCACUAGGAAAACUUAGUAUUAUCACCCCUAGUCUGUUCCCACUCUUCAUACCAUUGGUAUGCUACAUCCUUUAAUUGAUACGCAACGAACUCUACACCCUCCACAUCAGUAGCAUGAAUCAUAGGAAAGAUCUUUUCUAUAUCAUCAAUAAAGUUUUGAGGAUAUUCCUCAACUUUAGAGCCAGUGAAAACAUGAGGACUCAACCUCAUAAAUUGACUAUCUCUAGUGGCCUCAGAUGAUGGAGCAAUAGGAGCAACACACUCAAUUUGAGAGCCCACCAGCUGGAUAAGUUAAUAAAUCAACUAGCGAAACUCAGUAUUAGACACAUCAGCUUGAGGUGCCUGAGGAGGAAUAGGGGGAACCGGUGGAGCUCUCUUAGGGAAAUCAGAAGCAGCGAGCCUAGACUGGUCUGAACUACUGAAGUUGGAUGAGCUCAAUCCAUAUUGUCCUCAUAUAGGAUAGAAGAGUUCCUGCAACAUCAAAUCUUCUGGGAGUCAUGAUCUAAAAAUCGAACACAUGGGAAUUAGAGAAGAUUUAAGACCUUAGACUCUAUAGCUUGAAAUAGAACAACAAGAAAGGAAAUUAUUCCUAAAUGCCUCGUAGCCUUUACCUUAUAAGUGUGGCUCGCUACAAACCCAUAAAUGAGACUUUACUUGACACGACUUUGUUGGACACCUAAUGACACCAAACCUAGUCUCUAAUAACAUCUCUUUCAUGACCCAAACUAGUGCCUGGCCGUGAUGGGUAUCUCAAGUCCUACAUGGAACAGAGAUCACCCUCUUCACCCAACUAAACCAAACCCAACACCCUCCAAGGUCGAAGAAUUUUAAAUAUAUAACAAGAUAGUGUAUAAUAGACUUAAGAAAGUUCAAAACAAGUCAAUAAUCAACAGUCAACAAUCGAUCAAACAACCUACCAUCACCACCCAAUAACCACAGAAGUCAAAACAAAGCCUUCUAAACAAAGAACCAAAACUGAGUAUCAAUAGAGAGUCAGGAUAUGCUCCUGACUAUAGUCAAAAAUAAGCCUAAACAGUCUAAGACAUAAGAGACCAAAACAUGAAAUGUAGACUUUCGAAGUAUGGAACCUCACCAUUUCAAUAUCAACUCACGAGAUGAUCCCAAAUCUUAGUCACUAAGCAGGAGGAGUAGAAGUAUGGACAGUUCCUAUAUUAUGCAGGGAUACAACAUUUGAAGAUGUUUAGUAGUUGGAGCACUAGCAUGAAACUCUAGGAUAAGGUUAACGUAAUGACAUAGUUAAUAGAUCAAAAUUAUUCAAAAUAAAUGCACAUAACUAAAUGCAGAGAGACACACACACACAUACACACACACAUAUAUAUAUAUAUAUAUAUUACAUGUCGAGAUACGGAACAAGACUUAACAUACGCUUUAAAGACUUAGUCUAGAUUAUGUAGCUCAACCAUCAUAACAUGUAGCCACGAGCUAUAUGGGCCCUAUCUCUCACCCCCUAGUAGAUCCCCAAUGCGUGUAGCCGCAUAAACCAGAGAAUAAUCUCUCAUAUAUAUAUGCAUGGGGGACUUGAGCCUCUAAAUUAUAUGAUAAGAUGGCUUAAGCAACCGCUCAUGGGAUGAUUUAGGAGGGAUUCGAACCUCCCUAAUCAUGAAAUAAUAAUAAGAAGGAAUCGAACCUCCCUGGUCACAUUGAACCCCGCGUUGGUAAAUAUGGUUUGCAGUAUUGGUCACUCGGACCUCCACUUUCAUGACUCAACUAUACAACCCUCAUUAAAUCCUGAUUAAAUUAUUUAUAACACAAUCCCAUUUGCUGUACACCUUACAACUAGGUUCACCUAACCUGUCAAGACACAUUACGACUCAUCAGGUGAGCCAUUAACAGUACAAGAAGUUCAUAACUCAAAAAAUUUUUGAGAAACAAAAACCCGAGGUGUUACAGUGUUACUGUGUUAUUUGUGGAAAAGAAAGAUGGUAGCAUAAGGAUGUUCUUUGACUACUACCAGUUAUAUAAGUUGACUAUUUAUAACAAAUAUUCCUUGCCUAAAAUAAAUGACCUAUUUGACCAGUUGCAUAGAGAUAUAGUAUUCUCUAAGAUUGAUUUAAGAUCGGGCUACCACCAACUCAGGAUUGGGGAGGAGAUAUCCCAAAACUACUCUACUAACCCAUUAUAGGUAGUAUGAGUUUUUUGUAAUGUCAUUUGGCUUUACUAAUGUCCCAUCUACUUUUAUGGGUUUAAUGAAUGGGGUUUUCAUGUAAUUCUUGGAUUCAUUUGUGAUUAUAUUCAUUGAUGACAUAUUAGUUUACUCUAAUAGUGAAUAAAAGCAUAAAGCUCACUUGUGUACGAUGCUGGGGGUUGCGUAAGGAGAUGUAACUAUAUGAUAAACAUUCAAAGUGUAAGUUUUGGCUAUCUUUGGGGCCCAUGUUUUCUAAGAAUAAGGUUUUGGUUGAGCCAUUAAAGAUAGAAGUUGUUAAGAAUAGGGGUAGGCCAAAAAAUAUGAUAGAAAUUCAAUGUUUUAAGGGGUUGGCCAGCCAUUAUCAUUGGUUUGUUAAUCAUUUUACUGUCAUUGCUUCACAUAUGACCCACCUUACUCAUAAGGAUAUCUUACAUAUGUAGGAUGAUAAGUAUGAAGAGAGGUUCUAAAUCUUAAAAUUUUAUUGACCUCAGCCCUAAUUAUCAUGUUGCUUAUUGAGGGUAAGGAUUUCAUUAUAUAUGAUGAUACCUCACUAUUGGGAUGCCUCAUGAUUGGGUUUGGGUGUUAUUUUGAUGCAGGAUCAGAACAUUAUUGCUUAUCCUUUGAGACAACUAUAGAUUUUUGAGAAAAACUACCCCAUAUAUGAUUUAGAAUUGGAAGACAUAGUGUUUGCUUUGAAGAUCUGGAGACAUUACCUCUAUCGGGUAAAAUGUGAAGUAUUCACAGACCUCUAUAACUUGCAACAUGUGUUCACCCAGAGAGACUUGAAUCUAAGGUAAAGAAGGUGGAUGAAGUUGAUCAAAGACUAUCAUAUAUCAAUCUUAUAUCACCCUGGUAAGGCCGAUGCGAUAGCAGUCACACUCUGCUAAAAACUAGUAAGCAUAGGAAUUACAUGGCUGGUGAUGAGUGGUGAAUUUGUCACUUAUUUUCCCUCAACAUUUUUGCAUACUACUAUGAUUUAAACGUAUGAAUGAGACAAAUUUAUGGUUUAAUGCACUAUUUUCCACAUCUUGUAGGCAUACAGGUAAUGAGAAGAAGAGUGGUAGAUUUGAGCUAAUUAGGAUCAAAAAAGAGAAAAGAAGUGUAGCUGGAAGACUUGAAGCAGAAAUCAACCUCAGUUACACGAUCGCGGUCUGAGGAUUAUGAUUGUGGCCAGUCAAGAUAGGUCAAAUAACCAUGAUCGCGGUGCUCUUAACGCAAAUUGAGGCAUUUACGAUUGUGGUCAAGCUUCAGCAAUUGCGGUAAUGCGAGAUUAUGCCCAAUGGAAAUUUUGUAAAUUUUCCCAGCCGGCCCCAAAUUCCUUAAAGUCUUAAACCCUUUCUGAUUUUUGGAUAUUCUGGAGAUUUUUAUCCUAUCCUUAGUUUAGGGUUUUCGUGUCCUUUGGUGCUUGGAGAAAAAUUUGUACUAAUCUUAAGAUAUGAAGAUAUUAGAGUGACUCCUAAGUGAAGAAUUGAAAAAUACCAUUGAGGAUUCAUUGGAAUUUAGUGUAUUUUGCAUUUUCUUUAUUUUUGAUGAAUCAAAUUGAUAAAGAUUUUGGUAUAUUUUUGUUUAUUAUCUUUAUGAGUUGCUAGUCCUUCCUCUUGGGAUUAUGUUAGAAUAGGGUGCAAUUUUGUGUGGGUUGUGAUGUAUUUGUGUAGAUUCUAGUUUGUUGAUUAUGGGUUUUAGUAUUUCUUGGUUUAAUUAGUUGGAAUUUAUGGGUGAAAACCGCAAACACCCAAAUUGGAUUUGUGGGUGAAAACCCCAAACUCUUGAAAGCUCUUAUCAUCCUUGAAAGAGGGAUGCGAGUGAUCUCUUGGAAACCAUGACAUCUUUGAAAGAGGGCUAUGGGGGACAAAGCAAUAGUGGACAAUAAUGGGUGUAGUUUACUAUCUUUUUGCUAUCUUAGAAUUAAGGGUGAAUAGAGAGUAGGCUAUGUUUUGGGCAUCUUUCUAGAAAUAGGAGUGCCUAAUUGAGGUGUUGGGUGACUUUAAUUGUCACACUCGUUAGGUACUCGAAAGGUUCAAUGGGUGACAUCUUUAAAAUUUUGUUUACAAACUAGCCUCAAGGACUUUCAACCUAGCCUACCACAUCAUUAACGAUUAGAAUUUGCACCGAAUCAUAUUCUCGUGCAUAACUUGACCCUAGGUAAGUGUAAUCCCAAGAUUCAUUUUUAAUUGUUUACUCUCUAAUUUUUCUUAGUCUUGAGUUAGUAUUUUAUAAGCCCAAAAAUAAUUAUAUCCUUGAAAAUAUUCAAAAAUCCCCAAAUAUUUGUAUCCUAGGUUUGAACUUUGUAAGUACUUUAUUUCGAACUUACCCAUUCGCCACUCACAUUGUUCCUCGUGGAUUCAACCCCGAAUCUUGUUGGGUUUAUAUUGACAAUGACUGUCCUGCACUUAAAUUGAUUCGUAAGUUGAGCAUUAUAAAAAAUGAUGCCAUUGCCGGGGGUAAUUUGGCAUAUUGAGUUAGUUUGGAAUUUUAGCUUACUUGCUUUGGUUUAAACCUGUAAAUAUUUGUUUAUUAUUUUAUUUGUUCCUUGUGUUAGGUAGAUUUUUAUUUUUGUGUAUUUGUUAUUAUGGAAUCUUGGAAUGAAUAUGAGUUUUGUGGUUAGAAAUCUUAUCUUGAUAUUCCUUGUCCAUAUUGUGGUAGACCCCACUUUCUGCAAGAUUAUAGAUAUGCUCCUCGGAAAGAGAUGUGUGCACUAUCUCGAUCCUUUUGGGAGUAUGAUUUUUCAUUAUGUGGUGGUCGAGAUGGACAUUGGAGCGAUUGUCCAAAUGCCCCUUCCCCUCGUUAUACUAACUCAAAUGCUAGUUCUUCUAAUGAGUUUGAUAGGUCUUAUGAUAAGAACUAGGAAGAACAAUAUGCCAGACACAAUGGUGUUGAAGUAAUACUUCAACUUAUCUUGGAUCGGGUGAAAAAAAUAGGGUAUAACAUACAUCUCAUGCAUUGAGCCGUGGGGGUAUGUAAAAAGGAAAUCAAAAGAAUAAAAGAAAUGGGUAAUGAGUCUGGCAUCUAAAAAAUCGUAAAUAUACCCACUUUUCAAAAUAAGGUUAAAGAAUAAAAAAUGUCAAGCCAUAUGGAUUAUAGUGAGCUUGAUAUUGCAGGAUCCUCGAUAAUUUCCCAACCAACUGAACCAAAUGUAGGAGUGAUGCCAAAAGUAAGGAAAUGGUACUAUAAUCGAAAGAAGGAGCCAAACAGAUCCUUUACGAAGGAUCUAGUCCAUUUUAGGAUGAGAAUGUCAAGAGGAAUACGACUCCGGAAUUAGGAAGAAGACCCUAUUCAAACCACUUUUAAACAUUGUGUUUGAUGGACGUGAUGAAAAUUAAACCACCCAAGCAAAUCAUGAACGGUGGAGAUGAGGUACAAGAUUUGUAUAUUUUUGAGUUUGCCUCCCAAGAGGACAAAAUGAUGCCCACCACUUGAAGGUCAAUAAAUGUAAAAUUCAAGGUGUAGCAAGUGGAUUCUUGAUGUUCUCACCAAUGCCCAAUGAGCCUACUCGAAAAUUUGAUGAAAAAUUGGGUAAAAGGUUUAAGUCCUCGAAGUGGCAUGAUAUAACAUGUUUCUUCAUGCCCUUGCAUUUGCCUAACACACUUUAAUGAUGUAAUGAUCAAAAAUUGGGCAGGAAAUUCAAAUUCUCUAAGUGGAGACAUAAAUAAUGGUUAAAGAAGUGUCGUGCCAUGACAUUAAAUUAAGCGCUUGAUGGGAGGAAACCUAUCAUUUUCAUGUCUACAUUAUUUAUUUUUGAAUGAGUCAUAAAAUUUUAAUGCUUUGCAGAUACUUUAGGCACAUUGGAGGCCAAACAUAGGGAAAAACCAAGCUUAGUGCAGGAAAAUAGGGCAAAACAGGGGAGUAGAAUGCCUCAGGUACUGCGAUCGCGGCUUAAGAUUCGCGAUUGCGGUAUCAUGAUGACACCAAUCAUUCCAUGAUCGUACCUCUGUGUCCAGUUUCAACAUGGUUAUCAAUAUAGUUUCAGGGAUCCUUUUAACCUUUCUUAUGAUUUUGUGUUAUGUAGUGAGGUCACUAAAAGUCUUUGUAGUUUGGGUUAUCACCCUGCCCCUAUGCGUACUUAUUAGUUUGCAAUACUUGAAUUUAAUUCACACAAAGAAUGAAAAUUUUGUGAAUUGAUUGUGUUUAUUUUUAGAUUUCUAAAUCUUUUAAUAAUGAUGUUGGGUGAGCCUUUCCCUAUGAUAGAUUGAUUGACGACAUUCUGAAGGGAAACUCUUCGUGAUUGGGUUUUGAGCCAUGAAUGCAGAGAAAGUCCGAGUACCCGUAGCAUCAGGGCUAUAAAUGCAAGGUAAGUCUAAGUAGCUGUGGUAUUUUUGAUUUGGGAUCUCACUUGUACCGAUGACAAAGUCUAAGUAGCCAUAUGAUUUGCCCGUAUGAAAGCCAAAAUAUGAAAUGAAGGCUUGGGUUGGUGCCGUAAUUAGCAAAUUGUGCAUGGUGCAAAUAAAACACCCCUCCUCCAUCCUAAAUUUUCUAAAAAUCAAGGGCAUGGAUGUGAGAGACCUUGUAAUAAUUCUUUUUCUCUAUUUGUGACUCCAAAUUUUUGACUUGUGAAAAUUGGUAGAUACUCAACUUUUGUCUCUAGCGGGAGGGGCAAUUGAGCCUCCUUGGCGAAUUUGCAUACCAUGUGUGGUUAGUUGAUUUGUUUGAAUCUCAUGUAUCCUUGUAUCAUCUAGAACUUGCCCCAUUAGUCUCUUAAGGAUAAUUUUGAUUAUAUUUGGUUGGUGAGAUGAUUCUUGGCCAUCCUUGUGAACUUGGAAGUCCACUCUAACCUAAAAAGCCUACCCGUGCAUAUAUGUUAUCUCUAGUCACCCACUUUGAGCCUUUCGGACUUUCUUUGGCAAACACUUUGCAAGCCGUAAGCCAUUUGAUUUUUAUCCCUCUUUUGAACCCUACCCUCCUUGAACUUUAACAUACUACUAGAGGCUAAAAGCCUAAGUUAGGGGGUGGUGAAAAUUGAAAGAGGUAACUUUGGGCCACGAGAUUGUAAGUUAGUGCCUAAGAGCUAAUUUUUGAGAACAAAUGAAUAGGAAAAAGAAGGAACCCAAGAAAGGAAAUAAAAACAUGAAAUAUACAAGGAAAAUAGGUGAAAAAAAUGCUUACCAAAAGAUGGGUAAAUCAAGGUAGUAAAGGUAGGCAUAUGUGUAAAGAGUGAAAAUAAUAGAAGUGACCCAUGGUCAAAAGUUGGAUGAAAACUGUAAUUUAGAUGCUGAAGGAGGGUAUAUCAACUUUGUUCCUAAAUGAUAUCCUACCCUACAACAAAUCUACGUUACAAGCUUAAAAAUUUCUUCGAGAUCUCCAACCAAGUGUAUUCAUUGUAGCGAUGAUUGAAUAUAGGAGUAAGGCUAUGCCAUGGUACUUGUUAGCAUCAGAGUCCUUGUGUGAGAGAGAGUCUUGCAUUUAAAUACCUUGUUGUAUUAUUGAUAAAUUGAUGUGUGUGGGAUUUUCUUUAUUGUGAGGAGGCAUGUGAACAAUUUGAGGUAUGUGAUAUUGUCACUUUUCAAAAAAUUAGGCAAAUGGAGUAUAGUGGUGUUACGACCCGAGCUGAGGACCUAUCCACGAUGAGCAUCCCGAACCAUGAAGGCCCGAGCGCCUAUUUCCAUUUGGCAAUCAUGCACACCAUUCAUAUACUAUAAAAAAUACUGAAAAUGUAAUAAGACAGAAACAUGGUCAAUCUCUUAGUUUAACUGAACAAUUCAAAAGGGAGUUCUUUACAUUCAAAACAUGUUACACCAGUAUGCGAAUCCCUAACAAUACAAGAAUCAACAUACGUAUAAAAACUGGGACAAGGCACCAGUCGGACCAUGAAUCAAAAUAAAAAACAAUGACUCAUUACUAGGCCUUCUGAACUAAGGGAGGCUCACCAACUGCAGCAUUUGACCAAACAACUCUAUUGCUUAGCGGGACCCCGUGACUGUGCCUCAAAUCCUGAAAUAUAGGGGGUCAAUACAAUUGUACUGGUAUGUGAUAUAAUCCAAAAUAGUAUGUUUUUACACACAAUAGGUAAGAGCAUUUCAUAAUAUCAGUAAACAGAAUACAAAUAAAAAAAUACAUGGUAAUACUUAAAAGACUUUGAAACAUUUCUUUGAAAUCCUGAUUCACUCUUUUUCUUCCGUCUGAGCUAGAUGGUAUACCCUACAAGUCUAGUACCCACGAGCUAUAUUGGUCCACCAUUAACUCGUCAUCCAAGCCACCACAUCCAUCUUUUCUGCAAGGAUAGGGGUCCUACAUACUAGUCUAACAUACCAGUGUCUCAAGGAUAAGUACGCAUUGGCCUUUGCCAAUCAUAUCACCCGAAUUGGAAAAACUCAGUUUUUGGCAGUGAGUUAUCUGAACUCGUGCCAUCUUUGGGUAUGACGAUACCCGAUACCCGGCGGUGAGUUAAAGAAUCACUCUUCAUAUAUAAAAUCAUUUGAUGCUUAAAAUCUUAUGGGCAUAUCAUCACCGGGUAUCGUCAUGCCCAGACUUGCAAGCCAUUCAUAUCAUAUCCAUUUCACUACCCAUCUUAUUCAAAAUAUGAAAAUGACAACCAAAGAUUUAUAACAUCACAAGAGAGUCAUCAUUUUUAUCCACGAUGAGCAUCCCGAACCAUGAAGGCCCGAGCGCCUAUUUCCAUUUGGCAAUCAUGCACACCAUUCAUAUACUAUAAAAAAUACUGAAAAUGUAAUAAGACAGAAACAUGGUCAAUCUCUUAGUUUAACUGAACAAUUCAAAAGGGAGUUCUUUACAUUCAAAACAUGUUACACCAGUAUGCGAAUCCCUAACAAUACAAGAAUCAACAUACGUAUAAAAACUGGGACAAGGCACCAGUCGGACCAUGAAUCAAAAUAAAAAACAAUGACUCAUUACUAGGCCUUCUGAACUAAGGGAGGCUCACCAACUGCAGCAUUUGACCAAACAACUCUAUUGCUUAGCGGGACCCCGUGACUGUGCCUCAAAUCCUGAAAUAUAGGGGGUCAAUACAAUUGUACUGGUAUGUGAUAUAAUCCAAAAUAGUAUGUUUUUACACACAAUAGGUAAGAGCAUUUCAUAAUAUCAGUAAACAGAAUACAAAUAAAAAAAUACAUGGUAAUACUUAAAAGACUUUGAAACAUUUCUUUGAAAUCCUGAUUCACUCUUUUUCUUCCGUCUGAGCUAGAUGGUAUACCCUACAAGUCUAGUACCCACGAGCUAUAUUGGUCCACCAUUAACUCGUCAUCCAAGCCACCACAUCCAUCUUUUCUGCAAGGAUAGGGGUCCUACAUACUAGUCUAACAUACCAGUGUCUCAAGGAUAAGUACGCAUUGGCCUUUGCCAAUCAUAUCACCCGAAUUGGAAAAACUCAGUUUUUGGCAGUGAGUUAUCUGAACUCGUGCCAUCUUUGGGUAUGACGAUACCCGAUACCCGGCGGUGAGUUAAAGAAUCACUCUUCAUAUAUAAAAUCAUUUGAUGCUUAAAAUCUUAUGGGCAUAUCAUCACCGGGUAUCGUCAUGCCCAGACUUGCAAGCCAUUCAUAUCAUAUCCAUUUCACUACCCAUCUUAUUCAAAAUAUGAAAAUGACAACCAAAGAUUUAUAACAUCACAAGAGAGUCAUCAUUUUAAAAUCGCACGAAAUUUUAUGCAAUUACUCUCUUUUCAUAAUACUUAAACAUGCGGCGGCCAUGUCAAUUAUUCAUUCACAUGCAAUUCUUCUUUUUGAUACAAAGAGUAUAAUUAUAGUAAAAAACUUCCUCUCAUCAUAUCAUAAAUCAUGUCAAACACCAUGAUGUUAAGGAACUUUCUUCCAAACUUUAGUUCAUGCAUUAGAAAUCAUUUGCAAUGCAAAUAGAAAUCAUAAUUCGUAACAAGAGAGGAAAUUCACUGUUCAUGCUCUCAAUUAAACAUUCCAAACUAUACAUGUAUAUACAUAAGGGUUUAUAAUUCAAUUUCCACAAAAAGAGUUCAACACAAUGCACACACUUUCAUCGAAACGAUCUUUAUGACAUGCUUUUCAAAAUAAUAUUCAAAUCCCUUUAGAUGCAACAUGAUUAUAAAUCAUUAUACUUUGAUAAAAAUGAUAAAAUCCACGCCCAUGGAGUUUAAGGAUAGUCCCACAUACCUUAGAUUACUUAGUUAGAAAAAUAGAACCCAAAUGUUGAUUUGUUUCUUGGAAAUCUUGAACUUAAAGGAUGGAUCCUAUAUCUUUGGAGAGGAGUUAGGGUUUGUUUUGGGAGAAAAUUUGAUUAGUUUUGGGCAUAUAAUGUACUAAUGAGGCUUAAAUCUUCAGUUAUCAUGAUUAUGGACUGUAGGGAANNNNNNNNNNNNNNNNNNNNNNNCACUACCCCUCGGAGUUAAACUUUACAACAGAAACCCGAAUUAGGGCCUCACCGUUAUGCGCCAUGUGUGCCACCACUAUAGGCACCGCGAUGCGCCGCAAUCGCGGUGACAAACUUUUUUGGGAAUCGAAACAUGGCUCAAACCUUGUCUGAAAAAUCCAAAACUCCCCCGAGACAUCCCCUUUUAACCCCUGAACUCGAAUCAAUUAAAAAAUCUACGUCUCGGGAUCGGGAAGGUCAAUUUAAAAAUUGUUGAAGUUAAGGGCUCAAACUAUGACUAAGUCCUUUUUUUAACACUUUGAGAAUUUUUUAGGUUGUAUGUUACCCAUGCAUGCUAUUAAGUUUGGUAUCAAGACGGGAAUGCUACGGGGUGUUACUGUAUCCCCCUUUGGGAUCAUUUGUCCACGAAUGAUGGCUUGGGACUUGUUGAAGCUCUAAAGUGUAGAAUAAAGAACAUAAUCUCGCAUAGAACUUAUUUUUUCUCAACACAAUAUGCAAAGAGAUCAAACAAGCUUCAUGAUGAACCCUAGUGAAACAUGUAUGCACAAAGCGUAAGAGAACAAAAAUUGACAUAGAGAUGACCCCCGCACAUGAGUUAUAGGGAUCAUAAUCAUCACAACUUAGGGUAUGAGUUUAUUUGGUGAUCAUAGGACUGAUUUACAUUGAUACUAAUCAUGAAAUAAGUUUUUUAUGGAACAUAGGAUUAGAAGCAUUCUCUACCUUACAAAGUACAACAAAUAGACUUAAACUUAGAGACAGUACUUGUCUACGCCCCAACAUUAAAUAACAUAGUUCAUCCUUUCCAUCUUACACGUUUCCUUUGACACAUCUAACCAUAAGAGUUUGAGUCCUACUAUAUAUUACAUCCCAUUUGAAGCCUAACCCGACAUUAAAAGGUGAUAACUUAAGCUAUGAGAACCCAUGUUCUAUAUCUCUUUUAGAAGAUUACUCCACCUUAUCACUAUCAUCAAACACCCUCUGGUCUCAAAUCAAGGAGUCUCAACUAGAUAACACAUUGGUUUGCAUUUUCAUUAAUCACAUCAUUCAAGUCUAUCAUUACUACACCCACUUCUUAGAUUCCCCCACUGGUACCAACAAACUUAAUCCUUCUUACAAAGAUUUUUGCCAUAUAUCUUCACCCUACUAUUUCACAUAAAGAAAGUUUCUCUCCUUCUUCCCCCCUUCUCUUAGCCUUAGCUGAAGAAAUCACAUAAAAAAUUUCACCUUCAAGAAUAUCUUUUCCCUUCCUAAGUCACUAAUACUUUUUCAUAACCACUAUCAUACUAUCAUUCGACGGGUCAUUAAGGGACCCGAUCAUGUACAUUAAGAAAAGAGUAACACUAUUCGAUUAUAACAUAUACUUAUUAAACUACUUAAGGUGGGAUACAAGAUAAAGAUGCAGUACAAUAGACAGGAAGUGCUCCAUUUAUAAAGUGUCUGUAUCAUAAAUAGAGAGUCUUCGGAUGUAAACCUACACAACAUGGGUUCUUAUGACUGGGCCCCAUGAGAAACAGGUGAGCAUAUAUCAGGAGCGGUAUAACAUAAAGUCAAAAUUAAUAAAGUCAAUGAUUAAGACAAGGAUUGGUACUUGAAGCUACUGCUUCUCAUUUUUAGAGCUAAGAUCAUCAUGCAUUUGCAUAAAAUUUAUCACUUUGGCUACACCCGACAUAAAAUGAAUCGGUGACAUAUAGAGACAUAUUUUCUUUGGAACAAGUAUGCUGUGAGACAGAGACUUUUAUGGAUCAUAUGCAACUUAACAUAUGACAUUGAACGCUUGAAGGAUUGGGUUACUGAGAUAUUAUUGCUUCUAAUUUGGAGAUCGGAUCAUUACACAAGUUGCAUAGAUAAUUCAGACCUUAGGCAUAGGCACGACUUCAAUAUAUAAGACAUUGGUAGAAUAUCCUUAUUAAAUUAAAAUAGGAGGGGAUUUCUUGAAUAGGAAUAGAUUUUUUCAUGACUCCCUCUUGAAACUUGACACCUCAAAAAAAUUUGGGAACUACCUUAAUUCACCAUCUCCCCUUAGAUCAAAGUUACAAUUCUAGACCUGCGGACAUAUCCCCCUUAUCAAAUCUAUAACUACAACUCUUAACACAAUGAGGGGUCAACAUACACAUGAACACAACUCCCCUCAAUAAUUUUUAAUAGGGAUAAUGCCCAUGAAAAUACCUGAAGUUUGACCGAAUUAACAGUUGAGUAUACUGAACUUUGCAGGGAUCCUAUUACCCGCUAGACUUUUUUGUUUCGUAUUUUAAUGGCAUGUAUCUGCCACUUGGCACAUUGCGUGUUAGUAACGUGCAUUGAGCACGUGAACAGUGCUAAAACGUUUUAAACUCUUUUUUUCCAAACAACCCCUUAAUUUUAUAAUUAUUUAAUUUAUAUUUUUAUUUAUUUAAAGUUUUUCAUUUUUUUCUCCUUUGUUCUUUCUCCUUGAGUUUCAGUUUCUUGUUCGUUUUUGUUGUAGUCCAUUUUCUUCCGUUGCAGUUUCCAUUCUUGAAGAUUCCGUCAUCGAAACUGGAAACUCAAUGGAAGAAAGUUUGGGGUUUUGAGUUUAAGAAAGUUUUCAAGAAAUUUGAGUUAGAAUGGACUUGGAAUUUGAAACUCAAUGGAAGAUUCAAUUAAUUUGGCGUAAUUUAGAAAUGGAAUUUGAAAACUUUUGCGGACCCGGAUGAAGAAAAUUAAUGGAAGAUUCCAUUCAAUUAUUGAAAAUUCAAUGUAUGUUUUUUUAAUACAUAAACUGGAAUUCGAGUGAAUUCAUAUAUAUUCAAUGUGCAAGAAAAUUAAUGUGCAAGAAAUUUGUUGAUUAAACUCAAUGGAAUUCAAAGUUUGAAACUAGAAAUUUAAUUUGGAAACUUGUGUGAUAAGAAUGGACUUGGAAUUUGAAAUUGACUCAAUGAAAUUAUUUGGAAUUUGAUUUGUAGGAUGAAUUUGAGUUGUGGAAUCUUUAAUAUGACUGUAAUGGUGCAAAAAAUAUUGAAAAGUGAUAAAAUGGAGAAGACAAAGGGCGUGCACCACACUUUCCACCUAAAAAACUGGGUAUAUGUUUUGGGGCGGGGGAUUAAUUCCACUUUAAAAAAGUCCGGGGGAGAAUUAAUUCCGAUUUAAAAAGUAUAGGGGGUAAUAGGACCCCCGUAACGUUCAAUAUGCUCCACUAGAAAUUUGGUUAAAGUUCAGGUAUUUUCGUGGGUAUUAUCCCUUUUCAAUAAGAACACACAAAUUCUUCCUAGGACCUCCCCCUUUAGGGACACUAAUCAUAACUCUCUCAAAUCCCCAAAGUCAUCGACUUAUAACUAACAUUAUCGUGGGCAUGGGCAUCCGUGCGUCUAAACACUUGACACUCCAUCUUCAACUCCUUCGAAUACUAACAUUACACCUCUUAUCACCUAACUUAUAACUUAUCAAAAUUUGUUAAAGUAGACCAAAGGCACAUACUACGUACUAAUAUUUCCUCAACUUCAACUUUAAUGAACACUUUACAAAAACUCCUAAGACUUCUCCAUACUACUAAAUUCAAGAACACAAACUAGGUACACAUGACACUUAUACCAUACAACCUUAUCUAACAACAUGCUAUCUAGGGUCUAACUUAUUCUUGUAUGACUAAUACGCUUGUCCUCUUAAUGACUCAACCACAAUUCAUCGUUUUAACACUAGUACCAUAUAUAUAAACAUAUCAUAAUUAUCCACUCCUUUUUCCACAAGUUGUCAACCUAGACUAUUGCACACAUUGAAUUAAGCCUACUACUUACUCCCACAAAAUAUGCAUCAUUAAUCUGAAGGUACUAUUUUUACCACUACACUCCACAUUUGAAGUUCAAGCCUAUUGUCUAACAAUACCAAUCAUAUAACAGUGAUGAAUUAGGUCACGUACUAUACUAUUCCAUCAACUUGGGGAAUCAACCCAACUAUGCCGUUUAACUUAACUACCAUCCACAAGUUCAUUCUCUCCACAACAUUACUACCACAGCUUAGAAUCUUCCAUACACUUUCUUACUUGCAGUACUAGCUUACAACUACCAAAGAAAAGAUAAUCAAGGGGAAAGGGGGGGGGGAGGGUAAAGUUACCUUAUAGGGACAGUCAAUCUUAAUCUUAUAACAUAACCCAUUAUGAUCUUAUCAACUCAUUAUACUUUCUCACAUCAUACUUAUUUAACCCAUGUAUAUAAUUAGACUACAAUGAGUCUCUACCCAUAACUUAUUAAAUAAUCUACCCCUUUCCAUUCAUAGCCUUAAAAUUAUUUCUACAACCACUAUAGCUAUCUAUUAUGAGAUCCUUCCCUAUUUUGAAUAUCUAAUAUUCAUAAUCAGACACUUCCUCUACAAACUACCAUACACUCUAAAAAUUCUACUACAAUAUUAGCCAAUCAUCAUAUAAGAGCAACCCACCCUUCGGUCAAGGGUCAUACAACGCAACUAUUUAUUUACGCAAAAGUCACUCUCACUUUGACUUAUUACCUUAUGACUUAAUAUCACUAAAUUCGGGAUCAUCUUACUACCAAUAGGGUAUGACACCUUGACACAUACUAUUACUCGGGUGAAAAUAUUGUUCCAACGUUCUAACAUAUAUCACUACCUUUAAGCAUGACAUCUACAACAAGAAUUUUGAAAGGGACUGAAUACACUUCAUACCUAAGGCUCAAACGUACGAUAAAUAUUGAUAGGGGUAUAGACUUAAAUCAAUACACUUUAAGAAACUUAUGGAAUCCUCUCAAGUCCUUGUGUAAUUUUAUACUUUUUUGUGUCUCAAUCAGAGGGGACCACAUCAUUCAGACUCUAAGAUUCUGCACUUGAAUCGACUCGACAAUGAGACGUAGUUAAUAAAAUAAGAGUAAAGAAGAAAUUUGUAUAACUUCUAAAUGGCACGAUCUAUAACACAAUGGCACGAUAUAUAAAAUCAAGAAAAGUAAAACAUUUCUAAACGCCUAAAAGCUUCCUCUUUAUAAGUGUAGUGUGCUACACACCCAUAAAAAAAGCUCUACCCGACGUAAUUCGUAGACACCCUGCGAUCAUGAACCAUGCUCUGAUACCAAGUUUGACCUGAGCUGAGGCCCUGGCCGCGCUGAGCAUCCCAAACCAUGAAGGCCUGAGCGCCAUUUUCUAUCUGCCAAUUAUGCAUACCAUUUAUAUACUAUAAAGAAAUGCAAAAAAUAUAAUAAGACAGAAACAUGGUCAAUCUCUUAGUUCAAUUGAAAAAUUCAAAAGAGAGCUCUUAACAUUCAAAACACAUGACACAGUCUGCGAAAUCCCUAAUGAUACGAGAAUAAACAUACGUAUAAAAACUGGGUCAAGGCCCCCAAUCGGACCAUGAAUCAAAAUAAAAUACCAAUGACUCAUACUAGGCCUUCUGAAAUAAGGGAGGCUCACCAAAUGCAACUUCUGACCAAACAACUCUACUGUUUAGCUAGACCCCAGACCUGUGCCUUAGAUCCUGCAAUAUAGGGGUCAAUACAAUUGUACAGGUAUGUGAAACAAUUCAAAAUUACAUAUUUUUAUAUAAAAUAGAUGAGAGCAUUUCAUAAUAUCAGGGAAAACAAAACAAGUAAAAAAAUACAUGGGCAUACUUACAAAACUCUGAAAUCAUGAUUCACUCUUUAUCUUACUUCUGAUCUAGAUGGUACACCCUACAAGUCUAGUACCCAUGAGCUAUAUGGGUUUGCCAUUAACUCAUCGUCCAAGCCCCCACAUCCAAGUUUGCUGCAAGGAUAAGGGCCCUACAUACUAGUCUAAUAUCAGUGUCUCAAGGAAAUAUGCAUUGGCCUUAGCCAAUCAUAUCACUCGAAUUUGUAAAACUUGAUUUCUAACAUUGUGUUAUCUGAACUCAUGCCAUCUUCGGAUAACCAUCUAACUCUCUUUAAGAUAAUUUUUAGUUCCUUAAACAUCAUGCUUUGUAUACAAAAUCAUUUGAUACUUAAAAUCUUAUGGGAAUAUUUUCAUCGGGUAUCGUCAUACCUAGACUUGCAAGCCAUUCAUAUCAUAUACAUUUCAUAUCCUAUCUCAUUAAAAACAUACAAAUAACCACCAAAUAUUUAUAACAUUACAGGAGAGUCAUUUUUUUAAAAUGGCAUAAAAUUUUAUGUUGUUACUCUCUUUUCACAAUACCUAAACAUGUGGUAGCUAUGUCAAUUAUUCAUUCUAUGUCAAUUAUUCAUUCACAUGCAAUUCUCUGUUUUGAUGCAAAGAGUAUAAUUAUGUAAGAAAACUUCUCUCAUCAUAUCAUAAACCAUGUCAAACACCAUGAUGUUAAAGAACUUACUUCCAAACUUUAGUUCAUGCAUUCAAAAUCAUUCGAAUGCAUAUAGAAACCAUAAUUCAUAACAAAAGAGGAAAUUAAUUAUUCAUGCUCUCAAUUAAACCUUCCGAACUAGAAACAUAUAUGCAUAAGGGUUUAUAAUUCGAUUUACACAAAAAGAGUUAAAUACAUUGCACACACUUUCAUUACAACGAUCUUUACGACAUGUUUUUCAAAAUAAUAUUCAAAACCUUUAGAUGCAACAUGAUUAUAACUCAUUAUUCUUUGAUACAAAUGAUAAAAUCCAUGCAUAUGGAGUUUAAGGGUAGUCCCACAUACCUUGUAUUACUUAGUUAAAAGAACAAAACCCAAAUCUUAAUUUGUUUCUUAGAAAUAUUGAACUUAAAGGAUAGAUCCUUGAUCUUUGAGGAGGAGUUAGGGUUUGUUUUGGGAGAUAAUUUAGUAGUUUUAGGCAUAUAAUUCCUCAUUGGCACUUAAAUCUUCAGUUAUCAUGACUAAGGAUUAUAGGGAAAAGAUAACACUACCUCUCAAAGUUAAAAUUUGUAACAAAAACCCAAAUUAGGGCCUCACUGCGAUGCGCCAAGUGUGCCACCACUAUAGUCACCAUGCCGCGCUGUAAUCGUGGUGACCUACUAUUUUUGAAAUCCAAACACGGCUCAAACCUCGCCCAAAAAUCUGAAACUCCCUCGAGAUGUUCCCUUUUCACCCCUGAACCCGAAUCAACUCAUAAAACUAUGUCUUGGGGUAUGGAAGGUCAAUUUUAAAAUUGUUGAAGUUAAGGGCUCAAAAUAUGACUAAGUACUUUUUUUAACACAGAGUAAUUUUUAGGUUGUAUGUUACCCAUGCAUUCUACUAAAUGUUGUAUAAAAAUGGGAAUUCCACGGGGUGUUACAAGUGGAGUAAAGACCAAAAAGGUGAGUCAUUUCUUGAGAAUUAGUGAUUUCUACAUUGUUGCUAUUCAAAAGUCUUUUGCAUCUUUGUAAAUUGCAUUUCAUGUUGAGGGUGUCGUGAUAAUAGCUUUGCCCAUGUGUGAAGAGAUACUUGUGGUAGUAAUCUAGUUGGAGUCAUUGUUAUCAUUGGGUCAUUCAAAUUGGGCAUAAAUAUGCAUUAUCUUAUCGUAAGAGGUAGUGUUGCUUGAGGACAAACAAAGUUGUAAGUUAGGGGUGUUGAUGAGUGGUGUAUUUACCACUCAUUUACACUCUAUAUUUGUAUACAAUACUAUGAUUUAAAUGUAUUAAUGAGACAAAUUUGUGGUUUAAUGCACUAUUUUCCACAUCUUGCAUGCAUACAGGUUAUGAGAAGAAGAGAGUUGGAUUUAAGCUGAUUAGGAUCAAAAAGGAGAAAAGAAUUGUAGAUGGAAGACUUAAAGUAGAAAAUCAGCUUUAGUUACUGUGAUUUUGGUCUAAGGAUAGCGAUCAC